CGUAUGCAUGCAUGGUUGUGAGCUGUGAAUUUUCAUUUUCCUUUUGAAGCGUGACAUGAUAUGUUUCUUGUCGGAUUCAUGUCAGAAUGUGUUGGUGAUGAUUGUUUUCACUGUUUAAUGAAUGGAAUACAGAGGUGCUCCUUUGCCUUGUUGCUGAUAUAGAGAGAUCCGUGAUGUUAAUGACAAAGCAGCAAUGAUUGGACAUGCAUGUUAUUUCUAGACCCAGUUUACAUGUACUUAAAACUUGUUUUUGCCCGACAAGGUGAUUUGUUCACUGGAAACCAGGAAACGCAAACUUGUUCUGUGGCGAGAAAUCAUUUAGCAUGCUGGAAACUUAGAUGCCAUCGUUUAGCGGAUUAAGCAUCAUAGAUGGAAGAGCAGGGAUAUAGUUGUUAUGAUGUAGUUGCUCGCUAUCAAGUAUCUGCAUUCCCAAUAAUGGUUACAAGUAAACAAAAAAGAUGGGGCACAUGAUCGUAUUGGUUUCGCACCAAGAUUGGGCUAUACACCUAUUUAUAAUAUGGAGCGUCAUGGCAUGUGGAUUAUUAGUCCAGAUCUAUCUACAGAAUGGGUUUGGAUUAUUAGUCCAGACCUAUCUACAGCCUACAGGGCAACUCAAUUGGCAGUCUAUUCAGAAUCAUAUUCUUUCAAAGUUGUAAAUGCAUGCGCAGACACAAACUCUUGAUGGACAGAAGUUGCGGCAAUCUACGCGGGUUGUGUGGAUCUAUUAGUGGAGAUAUGGAGCGUUCAUUUUAAGCAUUGUGUGGAUCUAAUUGUGGAGAUACAGAGCGUUUUACAUGAAGCAAACUGUGCCGCUCAUGAGAUUGCUAGAUACAAUGGUUGUUUUUUUAGAAAUGCUAGAUAUAGUUUUGAAAGUAAGCUCUCUUGUAAGUGGGUCGAUGAAACCCCAUAUUUUAUCCUUAAUUCUCUUGUAAACAAUGUACGUGUUAUUUGAAAUCAAUAAAGUAAGCCAUGAUGGCGUCCGCUAUAGUUAGUCUUUUCAGAAGACCCUCUGAGAAGCCUCUUUAUAUAGGUGGCAAGGGGCCCCAUUAUACACAAAAAAUAUCAUUGAUCAAUAAAGUUGAGGAGUCUUCAGCUACAUUUUUGUGCUUCUUUUGUGCUUAUAUUUGGCGUAGUAACAUGAUCAUUACAUUAAAUUAUCGGUAUUACAGUACUUGGUAGUCACGUACACUCCCACACACUUGAUUGGAUUUUAUUUGGGAAUAAUCGCUUUGGUUUUUAUCUUGAUCUAUUGACACCGUUAUCAAAACAAUUGUUAUUGAUGAUCCUAAGAAAUAAAAACAAAGCAACAUGCAUUGAAGGGGUUAUUUCCACACAUGAGUUCACGUGACAAUAAUCUUUGAAUUAAUAAAUACGACAUACUUUGUACUGGGAAAGCAUUGUCGGUCCGUCAUCAAGAAUUGACCAUACUACUUAGUUCAGUCACGAAAGAGACCCGUAAUAAGUUAAUAAUAAUUGAGGAAAUCCAUUUCAUGCACCAACGCAAGUACGUGGAUCAAACACGUCUCCAUCAUUUGACCCGUCGCCAUUUUUUCUGUUAGUGGUUACUUGCACGCAAAUAAAUGCAGUUGUAGACUUGUAGUGUCGUACCGACAUCUGUUAGGUGGAUGCCAAACCAUAUUUAUAUGUUCUGAUGAGAAAAUUCUUACAACACAUACAUGUAGAGGAGAUGGUACAACCGUACAAACAUGCCAAAUUUCAGGGUCAAAACCUUAUGUUGAUCUCGUAAUCCGAGGUCAACACGCCAACACAUGAGUUGAUAGCUUCUUGCCCUGUGAGAGGUUGAUCCAAUCCAACAUGGAUAACGGAUUAUGCGGCACACGAUGAGGAAUUGAAAAUGAAAUGUUGACGACUGUUUAGUGUGUGGACAUUCAUAGUUCAUGUCAUCAUUUUUUUUAUUUUGCAGGGAAAAACUGAUUGCAUUAAGUAAACAUAGUACUCCCUUCCUACCAUCAUCUUAUAUUGUGCAACACAAUCAAGGUGGAGAGGAAAACGAGAGAAGAUAAUGUUCAUUUUGUUAAUCAAUAUUAUUACAUGCAAUGAACUCAUUACUGCAAGCCGUGUUAGGUAGUCUAAAGUCAUUAAACAUAUACAUGUUCCAUGUCUCUAAGUGGAAAUUAAUGCACCACGCUUAAGUGUUUUCGAAUUAUUUGGUUAUGCGGCACACGAUGCAGGAUUGAAAAUGAAAUGUUGACGAUAGCUUAGUGUGUGGACAUUCAUAGUUCACGCCAUCAUUUUUUUUGCGUGGAAAAACUGGUUGCAUUAAUUAAACACAGUAUUACAAUCAUUCUUUAUAACGCUAACCUUCCUAGUUUUGAAUAGUCCACAUUCAAUUCAGGUCUUCAAUUAGAAUUGGAUCACCUGAUUUUGACUAAGUCAAUAAUUUCUUAAAGCUCUUCCGUUCAAUUCUUUUAUACUAUACAAUGUGUUUCCUAAUUUUUAAAGUUGCACAAUUAAUUCAGGUAUUCAAUUUAGAAUUGGGCCAUCCGGUUUAGACCAGGUCAACAAUUUCUCAGGCUCUCUCAUUCAAUUCUUUUAGCUCACUAUCUUCCCUAAUUCUCUCAAGUUCAGAGCAUAUAUAUCAACAUCCCAAUGCUAAACAAAAAAGGUAUAGAAAUUCAUUUCACGAUGAAUCUAAAAAUAUUGAUUUGAUAUAUUUCUCUAUAAAUUUGAUCAAACAUAAAAGGGUUACAUAUUUGAAAAAGCAAUAGACCUUGUAUUUGGAAACAAAGUGAUUGUUUGUUAAAGAAAUUCGACAACACACCAACGGUGUAGCAAAGCGUGCCAAACCCUUCUAGUCUUGGAUGAAAUCACAAACUUUCGAAGGAAAAUUCCCUAGCCAACCAGUGGUGCGCUGCUUAUCCUAUUUGGCUCACCGUGUCCUAGGCAGUGCAAGGAGAGGUGAAACCGUGAAAGAGGUGUUACAUGUUACCCAAACAACUUUGAAGCUAAAUAUCUCGGGCUCUCGGUGCCGGAUGAGAGAGGAAUAAAUGAAAGUUCAAAAGCUUACACGAGAGACUAGCAAAGCGCCUGCUUCAAUGCAGGUGAAAUUUACCUUUCUCGAGAUGGGAAGGAGAUCAUGUUAAAGGCCGUCGUUGUGCAGGCACUACGAGUGUACGUGAUGGGUGUUUUCAAACUCCUAAUCGGGCUUUGUCAUGACCAAACAAAGAUGAUGACACACUAAUGGUGAUGUGCGGACAAUGAAAAAUGGCGGUCUCAUGGGAUCUCUUGUGACAUUAUGCACGGGUCAAAGGUGAUGGGAGGAGUGGGGUUCAAGAGUCAGCGGCUCCUUAAUCAAGCAUUGAAAACGGGGCUAGCAUACGGGCAUGGCAUGACCCCUGGAUCCCUUGCGGUGCAUCAUACAGAUCGAUUACCACACAACAUAAUUUUCAUCUGUGUUGGGUCAUGGAUUUCCAGAUGGUUGAUGAUUCAUGCAUGCCUUCAUGGAAUACUCAACUCAUAUAGUAACACUUCUUCAUUGUGGAUGUUGCAAAGAUUUUGAAUAUCAAACCAUUGAGGCGCCUUGAGGAAGACUUCAGGCCGAGUGAUUGCAGCCAUCAUGGGAGGGCAUCAUUCGGUGCUUCAAGUACAUCGGUGUGGUCGUGACAAGCGCCAUCCUGGGGUAAAUCACAAGUUCUACAAUGGCGGCUUCCCUCUCAUCUGAAGCACGCUUCUUUGGAGUGCUACUUGGGCCUCAACCUCAACCCCAUGUACAAGCACAGCGACGUAGGAUAUAGGAUACCUAAACGUUCAUUUUUUUUGAAACUGGCGGAACACCAUAUUCGUAGAUCAUCGAUUUAAUGACUUCAGCUCGAGGUUUUGAAUCAACUAUCGGAGCCGAUUUCAUCUCUUGAGUACAGUAUACUUUUGAAACAACCUUCUCACUUGUCAAUUACUCGUGUGGAGAUUUGGCGAGUUUCCGUUGUGAGGCCUUGGAGACCCUUCGAGCAUGACCAUAUGCAUGUGCCAUCGACGGUUACUGCUUACAGUUACAGGUGACGAUAUCAUGGUCGCAUCAACGGUAAUGAUAUGAGGUUGUCGUCGUCUCAAAUGUCCUAAAUUGUUUGGUAUAUUCUUGUCUUCUUAGCUGUUCUAUAGUCUCUUGCAUCCUUGGCGCUUUUAUUUUUCAGUUUUUUUAUUUUUAGUUUUGUAUUAAUGGAUGUAAUGUUUGGUUGUGGCUUUAUAUAUAAAGCCUUUAAUAAAAUAGCUUACAUGCGCCUCAGAAACAGGAAGCGAGCUAAGAAAAAGAAAUAGGACACGUUUGCUUACCCGCCUCAUCGAGGCCCGCACAGGAAGAAAAAGGAUCGUUUGGUUACCCUCAUUGACUGUUUGGCCUGCACAGUACGAACAUUAAAGCACCUUUGUUGAGUCAGGCCCAAGCGAUGCAACCCUAGGCACGUGGGCGUGGGCGGUUGCACGCAUGGAUGCAGCCUCGAGACGUCGCGUUAUUUCCCCAAUCGACGUCAUAAAUUACCCUCACCUCCCUUCGGGGGGGGGGCCCUCUUCCCCACUCACAUCAGCGAUGGCGAUCACCGGAGCGACAACACGAGGAUCUACGAUAGCAGCGACCAUCGCAGCGACUUCAGACCUCCGCCACAGCGCAUCGGCCAUGGCGGUAAGUCCUUUUCCCUAUCUACAUUGGCCAUGACUCGGGCUAGAUCUAUUUUGAGCACGGGAUUGGAGAAUUAGGGAGGGGAUUGAACACAUGGAGAUUGGGGAAUUGGAUUCAACACCGCCCUCAUCUUCAGUUCUUGGCUAAUCGAUCGAUUACAUCGGGGGUGGAGAUUGGGGUACUACCUAAUUUUCUAGCCACGAUGACCCUGGAGUCGCGUCGAGCGGUGGUGGGCGUAGGCUUCUUCUUUUCUUCGUCACCAUCGCAUUAUUCCUGACCGUCACAUCAAGAACGAUGGGUCUUGCACGGUCGCCUUCCGUCGACGCCUUGACCAUCAUUUGCACCUCGUUUUCUUCCACUGCUUGCGCCCUCGCCACCAUCUGCACAUCGCCGUCUUCCUCUGCUGGAUCCACCAAAGUCCUUGUCUUCCAGUACACCACAACACGGUGGUCAUCGGGACUAUCAUGAGGAAUAACUACGGGCACUACCAUGAGGAGGAUGGACCAAACCACUUCUGCAAGGUGAUAUUUGCUCUGAAGCUGGAGGCUCUGUCUUUGCAUCUCGACUUCAUGAAGCACUUCCCCGCUAUGUUUAGUCCUAAGACGAACACCAGCUGCUCAUGGAGUGUCACGGUGAAGGUGGUCGACAACGGGGUCACCCUUGAUCAGGGUUGCUCCACCUUCACCAGUGUUCACCACGUCGGGAUCGGGUACAAGCUGACUUUCAAGCUGCUCACCCCUAACACCAUGAAGGUGAUGCAGCGUGGACGUGGUCACCAAGUGCAAGAAACAUGACGAGGCCUUCACCGUGACCGCGUAAAUGACCUCUUGUUCCUAGUUCCGUGUUGUGGGUUGUUCUUUUAAGAGUACUAUGUGUUACGAUGUCGUUUAGAACUUAUCAUACUAUGUUUAAAAUUUUUGUUUGGUUAAACUUUGAUUUGUGCUUAAGUUUGUUUCGGUUGCUUUAUUUUUUUGCAUCUGAUAACCUCACCACAUUGAGGAGGAGGUUAGCACACUAUUGUACUAGAUGUAACCAAACAAUUCAACAUGUGUUUGACCUCAAACCAAGCCACAACCAAACAACAUGCCUUCUGUUUCGACAUAUGCAGGCUACACGGAAUGCAUGCAACCAAUCAACAUGCAGAUGUUGAUUUUUUUGCAUGCAUAUGCUCGACCAGGCCCAACUGGGGCAAGUAUGCAAAUGGCAAAAAAACGAUGCACGUAACCAAACGCGCCCAAAGUGAUCUCUCAAUCACAUCUUGUUUAUUUCAGAUCAAAACUGUCUCUUUCCAUUAGAUGAAGUGCUAUAUAUAGCAUUGGAGCAAGCGUUUACAAGGGGGCGCCAUUUCAGACAGAACCGACGCAAUGGUUGCGUAAAGCAUGUGCCAAUGAUUAUAACAAGUAGGGGUUAAUCCCUUAAUUGCUAUAUUAAUUAAUCUUAGCACUCCCCCUAAUCCAUGCUUGUCCAGGUAGCAUCAUCAUCUCGAAAGAGUCUCCUUUAAAAACCCUAUGGAAAAAAUAUGAGGAGUAUAUUAUUUGAUAAGUUGCCAACACUCCUUCAAACCCAGUGGAAAAAAUAAGGAGAAAAUGAUGCAACAUGUCAUCAUUAUUGUCUCUUUUAACUCAAUAUGAGAAAAUUGUAGAAUUUUGAGGAAAAUAAAUAUGGCGUAUAUACUUUAUUAAAACCCGAGUGGGGAAAACACAAAAUAUGACAUCUGGUCUUGUGUUGAUAUUACCUCAUUAAAAACCUUUACGAGAACCUAUAUAGUAAACUCAUGAAGGGAAAAAGAGUAUAAUAUGAUGCAUUGAACAGGAACAAUUCAGGAAGAUACUCCCCCUGAUUCUUGCAAACUUCGAAGCCGUGACAUACCAAUUCCAUGAACAUAUUUCUGGAAUGUAAAAAUUGGUAGAGACUUCGUGAGAAAAUCAGUCACAUGAUGUAAUUUACAAGAUAUGCAAGCGAUAUUGCUUACGUAACCUGUUUGCAUCCGGGCAACACAAGAAAUAUUAUAUUUGAGAUAAUAGUUAGUGGAUGUAGCCAUUAAGGUCGGUUGCAAAAAAUGUUAUGCAAUGACUAUCACACCUAGUAGGAACACUAAGCUUGCCUAUGAUAUGACAUAGUAGGGAUCUGAUCAAUGUAUCCAAUGGUAUUGGUGUUCAGAUUUAUCUGAAACUGAAAAACCAGGACAAGAUGUUUGAUACCUUUGGAGAUAUCAAUAGAUAUUCUUGAGUCCCAACAAAUUGUGUUUGGUGGAUCCAAUGGCAUUAUGAAACGUUGAGUCCCAAUAUCUGAUUUUCAUCAUCUCUUGGUUUAAAUAGAUCAUUCUCUGCGUCUAGAGAAUGAAUUACCAUGAGAGUUAUGGAUGGAUAAGAUUUGUCCACAAUGAAUUUCUCCAAUAUAUUUUGGAUAUAGACAACAUAGUAUACCAUAACGUAUGAAUGAAGGUGCUCAAGUUAUAGUAACGAGCGGUAUUUUGGUUUACCCAAAUCCUUAAUUUUAAUCUCCGUCAUUUAGAUGAUUACAUGUGUCGUCAGUACAAAGACACAAACAUGGAUAAUCAUCAUUGUAGGAGUAAUCCUUGUGUAUAAGGAACUCAUUACAUUAGUUGUACCGACAACAAUAAGUAGUAUGGUGACUUACUGAAUUUUACACAAUGUAUGUUACAUUUUGUACUUCAAUAGAAUUGAGAUUACAUCGGAAAUAUAUCAUAUAUGUCUGAAUCUAGUGAGCCACAUGGAUAUGUGAUCACUACAUCUAUCAACCGCAUAGAUAAAUGAUCUUAUAUUCUCAAUGAUACAAGUUGUCGGAAAGAAGUUCCACCUCUAGAGAAUAGUUGGGUAUCUGCAUGAACCCUUAUGCUACAAUACUUGCUCUAUGUUUCACAACCUUGUUGUUCUCAAUUCUGUUUCCAGAAGAAAACUGGUGUAGGUAUUGCUUAUGAAUACCUUCCCUUUAUUGAGCAAGAUUAUUUCUACCUAGAUUAUACCAUUUUCUUGAGUUCAGUUUGAGUGUUGUUCACACUUUGCCAUGCCCAUAGUCUUGGAUCUGAAUCAUUUGAAAGGUUUUUGAAAUCUAGUUGAGAAAUGUAUAUCGACAAUUGUAGACUUCUGGUUAUAUGUUUCUCUAGAAUCUAUAUAUCAAUAUAUAGUUGAUGGAAAUAUCGUUACCCAUGGUGACUGCUCGCGAUUUCCCGGUGCGAAUGAGUCGUGUAUUCCGAUGUCCCAGUCAUUAUGUGCAGUAUGACCUGGGUUAGUGGAGGUUUCCCAUCCACUUGGUAUACUACUCAUACGUAUCCAACGUAUCUACAAUUUUUUGAUUCUUCCAUGCUGAUAUAUUAUCAUUCUAGAAUACUUUUGGGGUAUUUAUUUACCAAUUUAUAUUAUUUUUGAGCACUAACCUAUUGAUCCAGCGACUACUGCCAGUUGCUAUUUUAUGCGUGUUUUUCACUUUUCAGGUUUUCCAUAGCAAACGAAGUCCAAUUGCCCUGAAAAUUUUUGGUGAUUUUUUCUGGACCAAAAGAAGACCAACGAGCAUCGGAAGAAGGUUGGAGGCCUCACAAGGGGCCCACAAACCAACAGGGCGCGUCAUGGGGGCGCGCCCUGAUGGCUUGUGCCUCCCUCAUGGCCCUCCCGACUCCGUUGUUUGGCUUAUAAAUUCUCAUAUACCCUAAAAACAUCAGAGGGAGUUCCGAAACACUUUCUACACCAUCGCAAGUCUCUGUUCCGAUGGGAGGCCAUCUGGAGUUCCAUUCCGACACCCUGCUAGAGGGGGAUUGAUCAUAGAGGGCCUCUUCAUCAACCUUUCUACCCUCAUGAUGAUAUGUGAGUAGUUCACCACACACCUACGGGUCCAUAGCCAGUACCUAGAUGGCAAUCUCUCUUUGUCUCUCUUUUAUCUUCAUUACAAUGACCAUCGCAACUUCGCUUUGAUCCAUAUAUAUGAUGUAAUUCCUUUCGUGCGAUGCAUUUGUUGGGGUCUGAUGAAUUGUGGGUUUACGUUCAAAUUAUUCGUGAUAAAUAUUUGAGUCUCCUCUGAAUACUUGUAUGAUUCUAAUGUGAAUGAUUAUGAUAGGUUCAUAAUUCUCUCCGAUCUAUUGAAAUAGUUUGGCCAACUAGAUCGAUAUUUCUUCGGUGAGAGAGGUGCCUUGUGGUAGGUUCAACCUCGCGAAUUUCUAUAUCCCAGUGACAUAAGGGGACAAGAUGCAUCUUUGUAUUGCCGCUACGAAGGAUAAAACGAUGGGGAUUAUUCAUAUUGCUUGAGUUUACUUUGUCUACAACAUGUCAUUUUCUCCAUGCAUUACUCUGUUUUACUUAAUACUCUAGAUGCAUGCUGGAUAUCGGUCGAUGAGUGGAGUAAUAGUAAUAGUUGCAGGGAGGAGUCGGCCUAUUUUUUAUGGACGUGAUGCAUAUAUACACAUGAUCAUUGCCGUGAAUAUUGCAUAACUAUCCGCUUUUCUGUUAGUUGCCCAACAGUAAUUUGUGUACCCAUCGUAUGCUAUUUUUCAUGAGAGAUGCCAUUAGGGGAAAGCUAUAUCUCCCGGGUCUAUUCAUAACUUAUUGAUAAAACCUUCAUUACCUUGCUUCCAUUUCAUUGUUUUAUGUUAUCUUGCUAUCUACAAUUGUCUACACACCUCACUUGCUUGCAAAUAACAAGACAAGAGGAUUGACAACCGAGUUGCCCGCGUUGGGUGCAAGUUAUUUGUUCUUUUGUGUGCAGCCGCUGAAGACGGUUGUGGUUGAUAUUCCUAUUGGUUCGAUAAACCUUGGUUUCAUAACUUAGGGAAAUACUUACCCACAUUGUGUUGUGAUAACCCGUUCCUCUUCACGAAAAACCCAACGUAGAUCACAAGUAUCAUGAAGGAUUUAUGGCGUCAUUGUCGGGGAAUAUCAUCACCAACUACCAAGUAACUCCACACAAAAUUUCAUUCACUUGUUUCCAUCUUUUUUUUGCUGUUCUAUUUAAUUUGUCUCAUAAAAAAAUANAUACAAAAAUAUUUACAUUUUCUUGUUUUGCUUCUCACUAGAUUGCAUCUUCGCUCUCUAGUUUUCUUGAAAGUUGUUAUCAUGUCUCAGUUUGAAAUUAGUGAUGCCUCCGCCUCUAGUGUGGGAACCCUUGAUUUGCCAACUUUAACUUACGAUGAGAAUGCUAAAGUAAAUUUUGAUGAAGUUUCUAAUGAAAAACUUGAUAAUCUUGCGAAUCAUGAUCCUCCUAAGGUAGAACCUAUUAUGCAAACUAAGAAACUCCGCAUAGGUGGUGGUAAUAUUAUUGGAAAGUGUGUUAUUCAAGAUUUUUUUCACUUGUGCAGGAUCAUUCCCUUUUAUAGGAGGUUUUGUUGUUGCUAGAACUACAAGUUAUGUGAAUGUCAUAUAUUUUCUUAUAGUACAAUCGGAGAGACAAUUUGUGCAUAUGCAUCCUUUUAUACAAUGGUUGUUCCUAGAAUUCUCUAAUAUCCAUGAAGCUAGCACUAAACAUCUAGCUACUUGUCACAUCCCUGGAUCCCUAACUAGGGUUUAGUAUUUGUGCUCAUGUUUUCUUCCAUUGCAUUCAAGAAAUUGAAACAAACUCCAAGAAGUGCUGAAACUCAAACCAAAAACCCUAGCCACUUCUAAUUCAAGGAAAAUUCAAAUCUUGUCAAAAUCAAUGAACCCAAAAUGGCCUUCUUUAAAGUUCAAUAUUUCUGAUAAAUAUUGAAAACAAGUUAUCAGGGGAGAAAACUAUUUUUAAGACAUCCUUGGCAUUUUAAAUUUAAUUCAGAAAGCCCCUGAAUUCAAACUUAAAUUUGAAUUCAAAUAUUUACAAGUUUCAAAACUGUUGCAAACCUCACGAGUAGUUGGCAAUAUUCCAACUAUCACUCCGGGCUAUUCAAAAUAAUUUUUGAACUAAUUUUGGAGCCAAUAUAAAUGGCAAAUCAAAUCAGCAACAAAACAGAAAACAAAAAUAGAAAAAAAUGGGAAAAACUUACCUGUCGCUCACCUGAGGAAGCCCAGCCCACAGGGGCAGGUUCGUCUUCUUCCUUCUGCCUUCUGGCAGAGGAGUGAACGCCCACGGUGACUCCUCCACCUCCUGCUUGCCGUGGCGCGCUCCGGUGCCCCCAGGACAGCGCGAUGGCGGGAAUGAGACCCCCGCACGCGUCCUUAUCUUCUCCCGUUCCCCAUUCCGCCCCCUCCUCUCGGCUUUCUUCCUUUCUUCUUGUGCCGCCAUGGACAGAGCUCAAGCUCGAGCUGCCCGAGCCCUCUAGCCACAGGAUACUUCCUCCGAGUGCUCCAUUUUCUCCGCCUCGUCGAGCUAGCCAUGUACGCCGAAGCAUUCGACCUCCCCAAGCUCUGGUGCGCCACAUCGCCGUCGUCUUCAACCUCCGGCCGUCGGCAAGCUUCUGUUGAUUCGACGUCCACAGCACCUCCCCGAGCCGUCUGAGCUUCCCAUCGCCUCCACCGUGAGCUUGCGCGUGUUUCCCCUCUUCUUCCCCCCAUUUUCCUGCAUGCUAGCCACUAGACCGACGAGCCCGAGCUCCGGCUGCUGCCUCAGCUCGUCGCUGGUGACCUCCGGUCAAUCCCAGUCCUUCCUGAAACCCAUAAUGGAUGAGGUCGAGCCUCGGGAUCCUCCCAGUGCUCUCGGCACUCGAUCCUGAGCACCACAUGCACCACAGUAAGUAAAGGUUGUGUGUUGAACCUGAUUUGGUAAAGGUACCGGUGAAAGGCUAUGUAGGAGUACAUGGCGGGUUGUUUCAUUGGAACCGUCCUUAGGAACUGAGUUCCGUGUAUGUAAUCCAAGACUAUAUACUACAACACGUUGGGAUACUUAAUUGACACUCACGACUUAUUAAUCGCUUAGUACUCGGUCCAGGAGUUGCAAGUAGUUUCUGGUGUUUAUAGUCAUGCUGGAGGCCGUGCGUAGCGCUGACCUUAGAAGUGGGAUAUGAUGCGGUAGGCAGUGGCACGGUGUACCAAGGGGCACCCGGAUGGUGGGCUUGGGAACCCUGCGCACAUCGUUUGGGGCCGUGGCGGAAACCUCGGCCGGACUUCCGUGCGGGUUACCCUCAGAUAGGCGAUAGACCUGGACUAAGUAUUAGCGUGGUUAACGGUCGUGGCCGACUCUCUCACUGGGCUUCCGCUUGGAGGUUGCCGAGGUGCAUGUCGUGCACAUGGCGAUAAGUGGCGAGAGCAUGUGUGAAGAAGUACACCCCUGCAGGGUUAUGAUCUAUUCGAAUAGCCGCGUCCACGGAUAUGGACUACUUGGAAGCAUAUGUUGUUCAUAGAUAACUUUAAUGGCUACUCAUAAAAUUGUCAAGAUAAGUGUGAGUGUCGUGGACGGCAUUUCCGUAUGGAGACGGAAUGAUUCCACGAUGGAGUAUUGUUGUGGUGUUAGUGGACUCAUGUGCGAGAAAUCAAGUUGUCAAAAUUAUUUAAAAAUGCAAGUUGUCUAGCCACGAGUCAAAUGUUGGCUUUCCGCAUGAAACCCCACAAUUCCUUAUUGAUACAUUGCAUGAGUAGAUAGCUUAUCCUAAAGUCUUGCUGAGUACUUUUGUACUCAUGUUUGCUUAAUAAUUGUUGCAGAGGUUGUUAAUGACCCUAAUGGAGGGUUCUACCUAGACAUCGACGAUGACGAGUAGCUGGGAUCUGGCCCUAGGGUGGGUCUGUAGAUAGUCAGGCCAUGUGCCUUUAUCUUUCCCUCUGUCUGUACUCAGACAGCUUUAAAUCUUCCGCUGGCUAGUAAGAUUGUGUGUAUGACUUGUGAUGAUGGGUCGUGAGACCCCUACUUUGUAAUAUUAUGUGUGUGGAUCUUCCGAGCCUUCUAAAUAAAGUUUGUAUGUUUAUGGUUAUGUUGUGAUGCCAUCGAUGUAUCUAUACAUAUCGGUAGGCCAUGCGUACGUGUGUUGUACUUGAUAUGUAUGGGGUUCGAUUACCUAGUCGUAGGCUUUAGUAGCAUUCCUUACAGGGAAAUGCCCCUUUGUGAUCCAACGAGCCAUGGUAGUUCGCUACUGCUCCGGACACAUUGGUUGACCAGCAUGUGUCCUUCUUAGCUAUUGUGUCUGUCCCCGUUGGGGAAAUUUUACCCGAUGUAAUGGAGUCCUUGUAGCUUGCUUCGACUUGUCUACAUUCGCUGGUGACCGACACCUGCUUUGCUGGGUCAUGUAUGCAUGUCCCUGUGUGGAACUGCCGCUUUGGUUUAUGACUAGACAUGUCGAUCCGGGUUCUUUGUCAUUGGAUUGCUAGCGACACAAUUGCAUACGCGAGUCAAAAGUCGCAAACGGUCCCGGCUAAGGUAAGGCUGCAACCGUGGGGAUAACCGUGUGUGAGACCGCAAAGAGAUGCGAUGUGUUACAGUCUGGAUUCCUAUGGCUUAGGAUCGGGGUCCCGACACUACUAUAUUCCUUUUCUAAAGAAUUUAGUAAUAUCAUACAAGAAGCUAGAGAUAUAUUUUCUCAUUUUAGGUUUGAUGGUGAUUUCCCACCCAUAGAGGGGAUUCUUUAUGAAUUGGAAGAAAUAAGAAAACUAAGAUCCAUAGACUAUCUUGCUUAUGAUGAGAACCUUAGAAAGAAGGUACCGCUUAAUGUCUUAGUUGAUAAUAUUUCUAAACACAAUGAUUAAUUUGCUAUAUCAAAACUUGGAUUGGAUUAUGAUCUUCAAACAAAAUUAAGGAAAUACCUCCAUAGGAAUUUAUACAAUGAGGAACUAACUAUCACUUAUGAAAAACCCAAGGGAGAGCCUCAUGUCCCCCCCCCCCAAAGUAGACCUUUCGGAUCCUAAUGUUGUGCUAUUUAACCCCUUCAAUUAUUUUUGCUAACCUAUCAUAAAUCUUGCUGCUCAAUAAAGGGAAUAUGAUUAUAGAAUGAUGGGUCAUUCUUAAAAAUAUGACAACACUUGAAACUAUGCAAUAUACCUAGCUAGGGGCAUAAAACAAUAGCGCUUGUUGGGAGGCAACCCAAUAGUUAUCUCUAUUUUUUCUUUUAAAUUUUUAUCAGUUUGCGAUAACAUGAUUAUUUCCUAUGUAAUUAUUAUGUUUCUAUGUUUAAUUACUGUUUGUACCAAGUAAAUCCUUUGGGAUGAUUUGCAUGAUGAGUAGAAUUAAUACGGUGCAAAAACAGAAACUUUGACGUCCACUACAGAAUAUCUCUGAUUUUACUAGAACGUAUUUUCAAGCUGAAAUUUUUACACGCUAUGAAUACGCAAAUUCGUUAGGUCGUCCUAAACUUUCAGAACUUUUGGAGUUACUUUAGUAUAGGUUCAUUACAAAUUACCACAGAUUGUUCUGUUUGAGUCACAUUCUGUUUUUGCAUGCGAAGUUUGCUUGUUUUGAUGAUGCUAUGAAUUGUAUCAGGGUAUAAGCCAUGGAAGAGUUAGGACACAGUACCCUAUGCUAAAAUAAAAUAAUAAUCAACUUGUAAGAGAACCUGAAAGUAUUUGAUAUGUUGCUGAUACUAACGGAUCUCACAAAGUUUUGUUGAGUUUUAUGUGAUUGAAGUUUUCAAGUUUUGGGUAUUGUCCUAAUGGACAAAGGAUUGAGGAUCAGCAAAAGCCUAAGCUUGGAAAUUCCCAAGGAACCCCAAUGUAAUAUUCCAGGAAGGCUCAAGCGUCUAAGCUUGGGGAUACCCCGAAAGACAUCCCCUCUUUUCGUCUCAAUCCAUCGGUAUGUUACUUUGGGCUAUAUUUUUACUCAUCACAUGAUAUAUUUUUACUCAUCACAUAAAAUCAUUGUUUGCUGGACACACCUAUCUUAGAGAUAGACCACGUCAUCACAAUUUGUUAGAAUACUCUAUGUGCUUCACUUAUAUCUUUUGAGCUUAGCAGUUGCUCUAGUACUUCACUUAUAUCUUCUCGAGCACGGUGGCAUGUAGAUUUUAUUGAAAUAUUAUGAUCUCGUUCUUCACUUAUAUUUGUUUGAGAGAUGAACAAAUAGUGACAGUAAUUUUCAUGGGUCAUAAGACUAGAUAAAAAAUAAUGAGUAUUCAAUGAGUGAUAAUUAAAACCAUCAUGUAGCACAUAUAGAGAAAUUAUGGGUUAAUGAUAUUGAUGUGGUGAUAUGGAAAAGGUAAGAGUGCAUUAUUAUUAAUUCAGAAAGGUGUAGAUAUUAAUAGAUGUUAAACUUUGUGCUCAUCUAAAAUAUUAAAAGGGCAUGGUGAUGAUGUGUGAACAUUUCUAUUCCUCGCUGAAAUCCUAGCGUUGUUUUUAGUCGAAGACGCACGAUGGUUAAUUCCUACCAACCCUCUCCCUCAGGGCAUGCGAGUAGUACUUUGACUUGUGAUAAAACUAAUAAAACUUUCCAACAAGUAUAUGAGUUCUUCUUGACUAAUGUGACACCAUGGACAUAUGCAAUCUCACCUCCUCUUAAUUGCUAGCCUCUUCGGUAUCGUGCAUCGCCCGUUCUCACCUUGAGGGUCGGUGCGACUUUCGCCAGUGUAUCCCAACCCCGUGACAUGACACGCACUGUUGCACAUAAACCUUUUUAUAUACUCCUCAAAACAGCCACCAUAACUACCUAUCAUGGCAUUUUCGUAUACAUUCCGAGAUAUAUUGUUAUGCAAAUGUCACCGUCACUUCACAUGACUAGUUCGUUCAUAAUCAUAAUGCUUUGCAUGAUCAUAUAGAGAUGACAUAGUAACCAGUAGCAACAAAGUGACAACAGUAGAAGCAAAGUAACAGCAGUAGCGGCAAAGUAACAGUAGCAGCAGUGACAGCAGUAGCGGCAAAGUAACGUAGCAAGGACCAGUAGGAAAAAAACUCGUAGGCAUUAGAUCGGUGAUGGAUGAUUAUGUCGGAUGUUAGUCAUCAUGCAACAGCUAUAACACGGAGAGAUAUGUAACUAGCUCCAGUUCAUCAGUGUAAUGUAGGCAUGUAUUCCGUAUGUAGUCAUACGUGCUUAGGGAAAAGAACUUGCAUGACAUCUAUUGUCCAUCCCUCCCGUGGCAGAGGGGUCCUAAUGGAAACUACGGGAUAUUAAGGUUCUCCUUUUAAUAAAGAACCGGACCAACGCAUUAACACUUGGUGAAUACAUGAACUCCUCAUACUAUGGUCAUCUCCGGGAGUGGUUCUGGCUGUUGUCACUCCGGGGUUGCCGGGUCAUAACACAUAGUAGGUGACUACAACUUGCAAGAUAGGAUCAAGAACACACAUAUAUUGGCGACAACAUAAUAGGUUCAGAUCUGAAAUCAUGGCACUCGGGCCCUAGUGACAAGCAUUAAGCAUGGCAAAGUAGUAGCAACAUCAAUCUUAGAACAUAGUGGAAACUAGGGAUCAAUCCCCGUCAAAACUAACUCGAUUACAUGAUAGAUCUCAUCCAACCCAUCACCGUCGAGCAAGCCUACGACGAGAUUACUCACGAACGGUGAAGAGCAUCAUGGAAUUGGCGAUGAAGGAAGGUUGGUGAUGACGCUGGCGACGAUUUCCCCUCUCCGGAGCCCAGAACGGCCUCCAGAUCUGCCCUCCAGAGGAAGAACUGGAGGUGGCGGCGCCUCCGUAUUGUAAAACGCAAUGAACUCUUCUCCUUGAUUUUUUCGGACGAAAAGGACUAAAUAGACCUGAGAUUGGAAGCGAUGGAGCAAUGGGCCCCACAAGCCUGCCAGACGUGGCCAGGGGGGCCCACGCCUGGUGGGCUUGUGGGCUCCAUGAUCCACUUUCUCCGUUGAUUCUUGCGCCAGUAUUUUUCAUAUAUUCCACAAAAAUUCUUCGUAAAUUUUCAGGUCAUUCCGAGAACUUUUAUUUCUGCGCAAAAACAACACCAUAGAAAUUCUGCUGAAAACAGCGUUAGUCCGGGUUAGUUCCAUUCAAAUCAUGCAAAUUAGAGUCCAAAACAAGGGCAAAAGAGUUUGGAAAAGUAGAUACAACAGAGACGUAUCAACUCCCCCAAACUUAAAACCUUGCUUGUCCUCAAGCAAUUCAGUUGUCAAACUGAAAGAGACAAAAGGAAAACUUUUACGAACUCUGUUUGAUCUUGUUGUUGCAACUAUGUCUAACUCAUAUCCAGAAUUUCAGCAAGAUCACAAGCUAACCACAUAAGCAAAUGACAUCUAGGUCUCACGGUAAACUCAUAUCAAUGGCAUAAUCAACUAGCGAGCAAAUAAUAAUAAGUCUCAAACGUCAACACUUCAAUCAAAACAAUCAUGAAGCAGUACGAAUAGAUGGUAUCUCUCUAGCUCUUUCUGAGACCACAAAACAUAAAUGUAGAGCACCUUCAAAGACCAAGGGCUGACUAAACAUUGUAUUUCAUGGCAAAAAAGAUCCAGUCACAGUCAUACUCAAUCACAGUUAAAAGCAAAGCAUAAAAAUGACAGAGGUGCUCUCUAAUUGGUGCGUUUAUAAGAAGAGGAUGACUCAACAGGAACAUAAAUAGAUNNNNNNNNNNNNNNNNNNNNNNNNNNNNNNNNNNNNNNNNNNNNNNNNNNNNNNNNNNNNNNNNNNNNNNNNNNNNNNNNNNNNNNNNNNNNNNNNNNNNUAGUGGUAUAUAUAGUUUAGUUGGUAGGUUAGUUAAUUAGUAGAUUUAGUGGUAGUUUAGUUAGUUGGUAGAUUAUGUUUAGUUAGUUGGUAGUUUAGUUAGUUGGUACAUUUAGUUAGUUAAUUAGUAGAUUUAGUAGGUAGUUUAGUGGUAGAUUGUGUUUUGUUAAUUAGUGGUAGCUAGAUUGUCUUUUAGCUACUUAGUGGUAGAUUCUGUUUUUGUUAUUUUGUUGUUGUUUAGUGCUAUAUAGGUUUAGCGAUAGGUUUAGUGCUAGUUUACGUAGAUAAGGGAAGAAUAAUAAGNNNNNNNNNNNNNNNNNNNNNNNNNNNNNNNNNNNNNNNNNNNNNNNNNNNNNNNNNNNNNNNNNNNNNNNNNNNNNNNNNNNNNNNNNNNNNNNNNNNNNNNNNNNNNNNNNNNNNNNNNNNNNNNNNNNNNNNNNNNNNNNNNNNNNNNNNNNNNNNNNNNNNNNNNNNNNNNNNNNNNNNNNNNNNNNNNNNNNNNNNNNNNNNNNNNNNNNNNNNNNNNNNNNNNNNNNNNNNNNNNNNNNNNNNNNNNNNNNNNNNNNNNNNNNGAAGAUGAAGAAGAAGAAAAUGAAAUCCCGACACCACGACACCUGACACGAUGCCCCGAAUCCUCGACACGACGCCCCGACACGACAUCUCGACGACUCCCCGACACGAAAUAUUUUUUAUGGAUCCUAGAUGACAUCUAUAUAGGUCAUAUAUUUGUGUUAGGUCAUAUAUUUUUCGAUUUUAUUAAUGAACACAAAAUAUUUGUGUUCAACGGGUGGAUUUACAUGUCACAGUUGUCUCGCUGCUGUCAGGUCUGCUGUCCGAAGACCUCCCCGUGCGUUCUACGAGCUCCGCCCCUGCAUUUGUGGGUGAGUACAAAUGUCAUAUCCUCCUCGCCCCUUCAUUUUUGGUGGGUCGGUCUUCAGAUGAAACUUGCUAGAUAUAGGUAAUUAAAUUAAUUUAUCAGUAUGCGUGACCAGUAUGUGUUUGCCAUUCGAAAGGGUUACAGUUAUAAAUAUGCAUGUAUUUGCAUAUAUUUAUAACCGCGAUUCUUCCGAAUUGUCCAACGUUAUACAUGGACAACCCGAGUAUGUGUAGAUUGGGUUCAUUUUCCCAUAUGCUUUGUUCCGGAUCCGAUGCAUAAUUUCGUCAGUGCCUCCCUCUUGUUCUCCGGAUACACAUCCUCUCUGUUUAUUAUGGAGACGUGUAUCAGGAGAACAACGGGGAGAUCCUACCGAAAUUUUGCGUUGGAUCCGGAGUAGGGCAUGGGAAAAUGGACCCAAUCUACACAUACUCGGGUGGGAUUAGGACCUAUCUUUACCUAUUAGCGCGUAGGUUGCAUUGACGUAAUAAAACUGGCGAACUUGAUUAACUGAUGAAUAUAUAUGCUGAAUUAUAUAUAAAUAUAUUUCUUGUGUGUUUAGUAACUAGGCAAGAUGAGUGUGUUGGAAAUAUGCCCUAGAGGCGAUAAUAAAAUGGUUAUUAUCAUAUUUCCUUGUUCAUGAUAAUCGUCUAUUGUUCAUGCUAUAAUUGUAUUAACAGGAAACAGUAAUACAAGUGUGAAUAAAUAGAUCACAAUGUGUCCCUAGCAAGCCUCUAGUUAGCUAGCUCGUUAGUCAAUAGAUGAUCAUGGUUUCCUGAUCAUGGGCAUUAGAUGUCAUUGAUGACGGGAUCACAUCAUUGGAGAAUGAUGUGAUGGACAAGACCCAAUCCUAAGCAUAGCACUAGAUCAUAUUGUUGGUAUGCUAAAGCUUUUCUAAUGUCAAGUGUAUUUUAUUUCAACCGUGAGAUUGUGCAACUCCCGGAUACCGUAGGAGUGCUUUGGGUGUAUCAAACGUCACAACAUAACUGGGUGACUAUAAAGGUGCACUACGGGUACCUCCGAAAGUGUCUGUUGGGUUGGUACGAAUCGAGAUCGGGAUUUGUCACUCCGUGUGACGGAGAGGUAUGUCUGGGCCCACUCGGUAGAACAUCAUCAUGAGCUCAAUGUGACUAAGGAGUUAGUCACAUGAUGACGUGCUACGGAACGAGUAAAGAGACUUACCGGUAAUGAGAUUGAACAAGGUAUAGGUAUACCGGCGAUCGAAUCUCGGGCAAGUUCUAUACCGACAAACAAAGGGAAUCGUAUACGGGAUUGAUUGAAUCCUUGACAUCGUGGUUCAUCCGAUGAGAUCAUCGUGGAGCAAGUGGGAGCCACCAUGGAUAUCCAGACCCCACUGAUGGUUAUUUGUCGGAGAGGCGUCUCGGUCAUGUCUGCCUGUCUCCCGAACCCGUAGGGUCUACACACUUAAGGUUCGAUGACACUAGGGUUAUAGGGAAUUUUUAUACGAGGUUACUGAAAGUUGUUCGGAGUCUCGGAUGAGAUCCCGGACGUCACAAGGAGCUCCUAAAUGGUCCGAAGGUAAAGAUUGAUAUAUAGGACGGAUGGUUUGGGACACCGGAAGUGUUUCGGGCAUCACCGGUAACGUACCGGGACCACCGGGACCAUCGGAGGUGGCCCCGGGGAUCCACCGAAGGGUGGCAACGACCCCGGGAGGUAAGAUGGGCCAAGUGGGGAAGGGAACCAGCCCCUAGGUGGGCUGGUGCACCUCCCCACUCAGCCCAAUGCACAGGCGAGAGGGAAGGGGGGGGCAAACCCUAAGCCAGGUGGGCCUAAGGCCCACCAGGUGGUGCGCCACCCCCUCCCACCCUAGCCGCCGCACCUGUUUCCCAUCUGGUGGCUGCCACACCACCUAGGGGGGAACCCUAGGGGUGGCGCACCCCCCUCCCCCUCCUCCUAUAAAUAGAGAGGGGUUUUGGCCCUUGGGAGAUAGACUUUUCCCUCUCUCUCGGCGCAGCCCUACCCUUCUUCCUCCUCCUCUCUGUCGGUGCUUGGCGAAGCCCUACCAGGAGACCUCGUCUCUCCAUCGACACCAUGCCGUCGUGCUGCUAGAGUUCUUCCCCCAACCUCUCCCUCCUCCUUGCUGGAUCAAGGUGCGGGAGACGUCACCGGGCUGCACGUGUGUUGAACGCGGAGGUGUCGUAGUUCGGCACUAGAUCGGAAUCGCUGCGAGUACGACUCCAUCAACCGCGUUCUAGCAACGCUUCCGCUUAGCGAUCUUCAAAGGUAUGAAGAUGCUCUUACCCCUCUCUCGUUGCUGGUCUCUCCAUAGGAAGAUCUGAAUAUGUACGUAACCCAACAGUGGCAUCUGAGCCAGGUUUUCUAUGCGUAGAUUCUAUGCACGAGUAGAACACAAAAGUUGUGGGCGAUGAUUUGUCAAUUUGCUUGCCGCUACUAGUCUUAUUAUUUUCCGGCGGUAUUGUGGGAUAAAGCGGCCCGGACCGACUUUAGACGUACGCUUACGUGAGACUGGUUCCACCGACAGACAUGCACACCGUGCAUAAAGGUGGCUAGCGGGUGUCUGUCUCUCCUACUCUAGUCGGAUUGGAUUUGAUGAAAAGGGUCCUUAUGAAGGGUAAAUAGCUUUGGCGUAUCAUCAUUGUGGCUGUCACGUAGGUAAGAAGGCGUUCUUGCUAGAAACCCAAAUCAGCCACGUAAAACUUGCGACAACAAUUAGAGGACGUCUAACUUGUUUUUGCAGGGUUUGACAUGUGAUGUGAUAUGGCCAAAGUUGUGAUGUUGCAUGUAUGAUGUAUCAGAUGAUCAUGUUAUUGUAAUAGGUUUCACGACUUGCAUGUUGAUGAGUAUGAAAAUCGGCAGGAGCCAUAGGAGUUGUCUUAAUUUAUUGUAUGAGAUGCAACGCCAUGUGCUUACUACUUUUACUUCAUUGCUAAUGGUUAGCUAUAGUAGUAGUGAUAGUAGUAGUUGGCGUGACGACUUCAUGGAGACAUGAUGAUGGAGAUCAUGGUGUCACGCUGGUGACGAUGAUGAUCAUGCGAUGCCUGAAGAUGAGAUCGAAAGGGCGAAGAUGAUAAUGGCCAUAUCAUGUCACUAUAUGAUUGCAAUGUGAUGUUUAUCAUGUUCUACAUCUUAUUGCUUAGAACGACGGUAGCAUAAUAAGAUGAUCCCUCUUAAAAUUUCGAGAACGUAUUACCUUAAGUGUGCAUAGUUGCGAAGGUUCAUUGUCUCGAAGCACCACGUGAUGAUCGGGCGUGAUAGAUUCUAACGUUCGCAUACAACAGGUGUAAGCCAGAUUUACACACGCGAAACACCUAGGUUGACUCGACGAGCUUAGCAUGUACAGACAUGACCUCGAAUACAAGAGACCGAAAGGUCGAACAUGAGUCGUAUGGUUGAAUACGAUCAUCAUUAAGUUGCUCACCAUGGUGACUAGUCCGUCUCACGUGAUGAUCGGACACGGGUUAGUCAACAUGGAUCAUGUAUCACUUAGAUACCUAGAGGGAUAUCGAUUUAAGUGGGAGUUCAUACUUAAUUUGAUUAAAUGAACUUAAUUGUCAUGAACUUAGUCUAAAAGUUGUCUUUAUAAAUAUUGUAGAUGGCCAACGUCAACCUCAAUUUCAACGCAUUCCUAGAGAAAAACAAGCUGAAAGAUGAUGGUAGCAACUAUGCGGACUGGGUUCGCAACUUGAAGCUCAUCCUUGAAGCAGCUAAAAAGGCUUGUGUCCUUGAUGCGCCGCUAGGUGACCCUCCCGCUCCCGCAGCAGCCGAGGACAUUCUGAACGUCUGGCAAGCGCGGAGUGAUGACUACUCUCUCGUUAGGUGUGGCAUGUUAUAUAGUUUAGAAACGGGGCUCCAAAGGCGUUUUGAGCAACACGAAGCAUAUGAGAUCUUCCAAGAGCUAAAGCUAGUUUUUCAAGCUCAUGCCCGUGUCGAGAGAUAUGAAGUCUCCGACAAGUUCUUUAGAUGUAAGAUGGAGGAGAACAGUUAUGUCAGUGUGCACAUACUCAAAAUGUCUGGGUUACACGAUCGUCUGACUUCACUUGAAGUCGAACUUCCGGAUGAUGCUAUAAUUGACAGAAUCCUCUAGUCUCUCCCACCAAGCUACAAAGGCUUUGUGCUUAACUACAACAUGCAAGGGAUGGAGAAGACCAUUCCCGAGUUGUACUCGAUGCUCAAGUAUGCAGAAGUAGAAAUCAAGAAAGAGCAUCAAGUGUUGAUGGUCAACAAGACCACUAGUUUCAAGAAAGGCAAGGGUAAGAAGAACUUCAAGAAAGACGGCAAAGCUGUUGCCGCGCCCGGUAAGCCAGAUGCCGGGAAGAGGAAAAAGAAUGGACCCAAGCCUGAGACUGAGUGCUUCUAUUGCAAGGGAAAGGGUCACUGGAAGCGGAACUGCCCCAAAUACUUAGCGGACAAGAAGGCCGGCAACGUUAAAGGUAUAUGUGAUAACAUGUUAUUGAUGUGUACCUUACCAGCGCUCGUAGUAGCUCCUGGGUAUUUGAUACCGGUGAUGUUGCUCACAUUUGCAACUCAAAGCAGGAACUGCGGAAUAAGCGGAGACUGGCCAAGGACGAGGUGACGAUGCGCGUCGGAAAUGGUUCAAAGGUCGAUGUGAUCGCCGUCGGCACGCUACCUCUAGAUCUACCGUCGGCAUUAGUCUUAAACCUUAAUAAUUGUUAUUUAGUACCAGCUUUAAGCAUGGACAUUGUAUCAGGGUCUUGCUUAAUGCGAGACGGCUAAUCAUUUAAGUCAGAGAAUAUUGGUUGUUCUAUUUAUAUGAGUGAUAUGUUUUAUGAUCAUGCUCCGCUGGUGAAUGGUUUAUUCUUGAUGAAUCUCGAUCGUGAUGUUACACAUAUUCAUAGUGUGAGUACCAAAAGAUGUAAAGUUGAUAAUGAUAGUCCCACAUACUUGUGGCACUGCCGCCUUGGUCAUAUCGGCGUUAAGCGCAUGAAGAAGCUCCAUACUGAUGGACUAUUAGAGUCUCUUGACUUUGAAUCAUUUGACACAUGCGAACCGUGCCUCAUGGGCAAGAUGACUAAGACUCCAUUCUCAGGAAUAAUGGAGAGAGCAACCGACUUAUUGGAAAUAAUACAUACUGAUGUGUGUGGUCCAAUGAACGUUGAAGCUCGCGGUGGCUGUCGUUAUGUUCUCACUCUCACCGAUGAUUUGAGUAGGUAUGGGUAUAUCUACUUGAUGAAGCACAAAUCUGAGACAUUUGAAAAUUUCAAGGAAUUUCAGAGUGAGGUCGAGAAUCAACGUGACAGAAAAAUCAAGUGUCUACGAUCUGAUCGUGAAGGAGAAUAUUUGAGUCACGAGUUUGGCACACACCUAAGGAAGUGUGGAAUCGUUUCACAACUAACGCCGCCUGGCACACCGCAACGCAACGGAGUGUGUGAACAUCGUAAUCGCACUUUAUUAGAUAUGGUACGAUCUAUGAUGUCUCUUACCGACUUACCACUAUCAUUUUGGGGAUAUGCAUUAGAAACUGCAGCAUUCACUUUAAAUAGGGUACCGUCUAAAUCCGUUGAGACGACACCGUAUGAACUAUGGUUUGGCAAGAAACCUAAGUUAUCGUUUCUUAAAGUUUGGGGCUGCGAUGCUUAUAUGAAGAAACUUCAACCAGAAAAGCUCGAACCCAAAGCGGAUAAAUGCGUAUUCAUAGGAUACCCUAAAGGAACUAUUGGGUAUACCUUCUAUCUUAGAUCCGAAGGUAAAACCUUUGUUGCCAAGAACGGAUCCUUUCUAGAGAAAGAGUUUUCUCGAAAGAAGUAAGUGGGAGGAAGGUAGAACUUGAUGAGGUAAUUACACCCCCUCUCGAACAGGAUAGUAGCGCAGCGCGGGAAGUUGUUCCUGUGGCGCCUACACCAACUGAGGAGGAAGUUAAUGAUGAUGAUCAUGAAGCUUCGAAUCAAGUUACUACUGAACCGCGAAGGUCCACAAGGGCACGCUCUGCACCAGAGUGGUACGACAACCCUGUGGUGGAGAUCAUGUUGUUAGACAACCGUGAACCUUCGAACAAUGAAGAAGCGAUGGCGGCCCGGAUUCCAACAAAUGGCUUGAGGCUAUGAAAUCCGAGAUAGGAUCCAUGUAUGAGAACAAAGUAUGGACUUUGGUGGACUUGCCUGAUGACCGGCGAGCCAUAGAAAAUAAAUGGAUCUUCAAGAAGAAGACUGAUGCAAACGGUAAUGUAACCGUUUACAAAGCUCGACUUGUCGCAAAGGUUUUUCGAGAAAUUCAAGGAGUUAACUACGAAGAGACUUUCUCUCCCGUAGCGAAGCUGAAAUCAGUCUAAAUCAUGUUAGCAAUUGCCGCCUUUUAUGAUUAUGAAAUUUGGCAAAUGGACGUCAAAACAGCGUUCCUUAACGGGAACCUUAAGGAAGAGUUGUAUAUGAUGCAACCAGAAGGUUUUGUCGACCCUAAGGGUGCUAACAAAGUGUGCAAGCUCCAGUGCUCCAUCUAUGGGCUGGUGCAAGCAUCUCCGAGUUGGAACAUUCGCUUUAAUGAGGUGAUUAAAGCGUUUGGGUUCAUACAGGUUUACGGAGAAACCUGUCUGUAUGAGAAAGUGAGUGGGAGCUCUGUAGCUUUCCUCAUACUGUAUGUGGAUGACAUAUUAUUGAUGGGGAAUAAUAUAGAGAUGUUGGAGAGCAUAAAGGCCUAUUUGAACAAGAGUUUUUCAAUGAAGGACCUUGGAGAAGCUGCAUACAUAUUAGGCAUCAAGAUCUAUAGAGAUCGAUCGAGACGCCUCAUAGGUCUUUCGCAAAGCACAUACCUUGACAAGAUAUUGAAGAAGUUCAAUAUGGAUAACUCAAAGAAAGGGUUCUUGCCAGUUUUGCAAGGUAUGAGAUUGAGUAAGACUCAGUCGCUGACCACGGCAGCAGAAAGAGAGAAGAUGAGUUAUGUCCCCUACGCUUCAGCCGUGGGCUCUCUAAUGUAUGCCAUGCUGUGUACCAGACCUGAUAUAAACCUUGCCAUAAGUUUGGUAGGGAGGUACCAAAGUGAUUCCGGUAUGGAACACUGGACAGCGGUCAAGAAUAUCCUUAAGUACCUGAAAAGGACUAAGGAAAUGUUUCUCGUUUAUGGAGGUGACGAAGAGCUCGUCGUAAAGGGUUACGUCGACGCUAGCUUCGACACAGAUCCGGGUGACUCUAAGUCACAGACCGGAUACGUAUAUGUGUUGAAUGGUGGGGUAGUGAGCUAGUGCAGCAGCAAGCAAGAAGUCGUGGCAGCAUCUACAUGUGAAGCGGAGUACAUAGCUGCUUCAGAAGCAACUCAUGAAGGAAUUUGGAUGAAGGAGCUCAUCACCGACCUUGGAGUGGUUCCAAGCGCGUCGGGUCCAAUGACACUCUUCUGUGAUAACACUGGGGCCAUUGCCAUAGCCAAGGAGCCCAGGUUUCACUGGAAGACGAAGCACAUCAAAUGCCGCUACAACUCCAUCCAGGACCAUGACCAGAGUGGAGUGAUAGAUAUUUGUAAAGUACACACGGAUCUGAAUGUUGCAGACCCGUUGACUAAACCUCUUCCACGAGCAAAACAUGAUCAACACCAUAAUGCUAUGGGUGUUCAAUACAUCACAAUGUAACUAGAUUAUUGACUCUAGUGCAAGUGGGAGACUGUUGGAAAUAUGCCCUAGAGGCAAUAAUAAAAUGGUUAUUAUCAUAUUUCCUUGUUCAUGAUAAUCGUCUAUUGUUCAUGCUAUAAUUGUAUUAAGAGGAAAGAGUAAUACACGUGUGAAUAAAUCGAUCACAAUGUGUCCGUAGCAAGCCUCUAGUUAGCUAGCUCGUUAGUCAAUAGAUUAUCAUGGUUUCCUGAUCAUGGGCAUUAGAUGUCAUUGAUGACGGGAUCACAUCAUUGGAGAAUGAUGUGAUGGACAAGACCCAAUCCUAAGCAUAGCACUAGAUCGUAUUGUUCAUAUGCUAAAGCUUUUCUAAUGUCAAGUGUCUUUUCCUUCGACCGUGAGAUUGUGCAACUCCCGGAUACCGUAGGAGUGCUUUGGGUGUAUCAAACGUCACAACGUAACUGGGUGACUAUAAAGGUGCACUACGGGUACCUCUGAAAGUGUCUUUUGGGUUGGUACGAAUCGAGAUCGGGAUUUGUCACUCCGUGUGACAGAGAGGUAUCUCUGGGCCCACUCAGUAGAACAUCAUCAUGAGCUCAAUGUGACUAAGGAGUUAGUCACACGAUGACGUGCUACGGAACGAGUAAAGAGACUUACCGGUCACGAGAUUGAACAAGGUAUAGGUAUACCGACGAUCGAAUCUCGAGCAAGUUCUAUACCGACAGACAAAGGGAAUCGUAUACGGGAUUGAUUGAAUCCUUGACAUCAUGGUUCAUCCGAUGUGAUCACUGUGGAGCAAGUGGGAGACACCAUGGGUAUCUAGACCCCGCUGAUGGUUAUUGGCCGGAGAGGCGUCUCGGUCAUGUCUGCUUUUCUCCCGAACCCGUAGGGUCUACACACUUAAGGUCCGAUGACGCUAGGGUUAUAGGGAAUUGUUAUACGAGGUUACCGAAAGUUGUUCGGAGUCCCAGAUGAGAUCCCGGACAUCACGAGGAGCUCCGUAAUGGUCCGGAGGUAAAGAUUGAUAUAUAGGACGGAUGGUUUCGGACACCGGAAGUCUUUCGGGCAUCAUCGGUAACGUACCGGGACCACCGGGACCACCGAAGGGGGCAACGACCCCGGGAGGUAAGAUGGGCCGAGUGGGGAAGGGAACCACCCCUAGGUGGGCUGGUGCGCCUCGCCACUCUGCCCAAUGCGCAGGGGAGAGAGAAGGGGGGGGCAAACCCUAAGCCAGGUGGGCCUAAGGCCCACCAGGUGGUGCGCCACCCCCUCCCACCCUAGCCGCCACCCCCCUUUCCCAUCUGGUGGCUGCCGCACCACCUAGGGGGUAACCCUAGGGGUGGUGCACUCCCUCCACCUCCUCCUAUAAAUAGAGAGGGGUUUUGGCCCUUGGGAGAUAGACUUUUCCCUCUCUCUCAGCGCAGCCCUGCCCUUCUUCCUCCUCCUCUUUGUCGGUGCUUGGCGAAGCCCUGCCGGGAGACCUCGUCUCUCCAUCGACACCAUGCCGUCGUGCUGCUGGAGUUCUUCCCCAGCCUCUCCCUCCUGCUUGCUGGAUCAAGGUGCGGGAGACGUCACCGGGCUGCACGUGUGUUGAACGCGGAGGUGCCGUAGUUUGGCACUAGAUCGGAAUCGCUGCGAGUACGACUCCAUCAACCGCAUUCUAGCAACGCUUACACUUAGCGAUCUUCAAAGGUAUGAAGAUGCUCUUACCCCUCUCUCGUUGCUGGUCUCUCCAUAGGAAGAUCUGAAUAUGCGUAGGAAAAUUUUGAAUUUAUGCUACGUAACCCAACAGAGUGAUCGUGCGUGGAUGUACACGGGUCACCCUAGUCAGAAAGAGAUGAUGAAAGAAUGGUUUCUAAAAACCAAGGAGUUUGUGAAAGCCGCAUUUGCAAAUGUGCAGGAAACAAACUGGUGCCCUUGUCCUGAAUGCGACAACUAUAACAAAAGGACAGAUGCUGUAAUGAUUAAACACCUGCAGAGGAGGGGUUUUAAGCCUAAUUAUACGGUUUGGACAUUUCUUGGUGACUCUAUACAACGCACUAGAGCUGAGGUGGUUCAUCGUCGCACCGACGAGCAUGGUACCGGGAUCGAAGACAUGGUGCAAGACUUUGAUGAUGCUCGGGAUUCGGCAGAUGAGAUGGAGGAAUCUGCAAAGGCCUUCUAUGAAAUGUUGGAGUCUUCAAAACGUCCUCUCCAUGAGCACACUGAGCUUUGUCAGUUGGAUGCCAUUGCACAAGUAAUGGCUCUGAAGGCUCAGUUCAACUUGGGAAGAGAAUCCUAUGACGCGAUGAUGACACUAUUUGGACGCUUUCUACCCAAAGGCCAUGUCAUGCCUGCAAAACUAUACCAGUCAGACAAAAUACUUCGUGUACUUAAGAUGCCCUAUGAGAAGAUACAUGCAUGUGAGAAAGGAUGUGUCUUAUUUAGGAAGGAGUAUGCACACUUGGACUAUUGUCCCAAUUGGAAGUCUUGCAGGUAUCUUGUGGCAGACAACGGUAUGGGUGAGAAGAGGCUGACCAAAGUUGCAGUUAGUGUUCUUCCGUAUAUGCCAAUCAUACCAAGGCUUCAACAUCUUUUGAUGGUCGAAGAGACAGCCAGAUAGAUGACAUGGCACAAAAUGGGCAAAAGAAUCGACCUAGAUGCGGAUGGGAAUAAGAUGGCAGUACACACAUUGGAUGGGGAAGCUUGGAAACAUUUUGAUGGAUUGCAUCACGAUAAAGCGGCAGAUCCGAGGAAUCCUCGAGUCUGCAUCGCCACAGAUGGUUUUAAUCCCUUCAGCAUGACGGCAACCCAAUACAAUAGUUGGCAUGUAUUUGUCAUUCCACUCAAUCUCCCCCCGGGCAGAUUAUGCAAAGAAAGAACAUAUUUCUAACAUUGAUAAUUCCAGGGCCCAAUUAUCGGGGGAAGAAUAUGAAUGUGUACAUGCAGCCGCUUAAGGAUGAAUUGCAAGAAGCUUGGGACAAUGGGGUCAAGACAUACGAUGCCGCUAGAAAAGAGAACUUCAAAAUGCAUGUGUGGUACAUGUACUCUAUGCAAGACUUGUCGGCGUAUGCGCUAUUCUACGGAUGGUGCGUGCAUGGAAGGUUCCCGUGCCCCACAUUCAAGGCAGCUCUUCAGUUUCAUUGGUUGCAGGAGGGUCAGAAGUAUUCUUGCUUUGACUUGCAUAGACAGUUCCUAGAUCCUGGCCAUCAAUUCAGAAAAGACAAGAAGAACUUUACCAAAGGUAAAGUUGUCAAAAACUUGGCACCACCUGUGUUGACAGGCCAACAGAUCCUGGAUCAGUUAAACGCCCUCGAGCCUGAUCCAAAGCGUCCAGGGUAUUUCAAGGGGUAUAAUUCAAAACACGCCUGGACUCACAAGCCAUGCUUGUGGGAUCUGCCUUACUUCAAAGACCUCCUUCUUCCACACAAUAUCGACAUGAUGCACACCGAAAAGAAUAUCAGAGAGGCUAUUUUUGGUACAUUGUUCGACAUAGAUGGGAAGACAAAGGAUAAUACUAAGGCUAGAGUCAAUCAAGAGACACUAUGUCACAGACCGUUACAAAACAUGCGAGAAGGCAAAGGAAAGCAGAAGUGGUCGAAGCCAAAGGACUGGUUCAAUCUUGGAAGGCCAGCUAUGAGGGAAAUUAUAUUGUGGGUCAAAAUGCACUUGAUGUUCCCCGAUGGGUAUGCAGCGAAUCUAAAGAGGGGAGCGAGUCUUGAAAAAAAUAAAAAUCUUGGUCUCAAGAGUCAUGAUUGGCACAUAUGGCUUGAGCGGGUAAUGCCGGUGAUGUUACGUGGCUUUAUUCCUGAGGAUGAAUGGCUAGUACUGGCGGAGCUGAGCUAUUUCUUCCGUGUUAUUUGUGAGAAAGAAUUGUCUCCUAGCGUGGUAGAUGACAUGGAAGAGUUUGCACCGGAGUUUCUAUGCAAGUUAGAGAAGAUCUUUCCGCCGGGCUUCUUUAAUCCAAUGCAGCAUUUGAUUUUACAUCUACCGACCGAGGCAAGAUUGGGUGGGCCCGUGCAAAAUUAUUGGUUCUAUGCAACUGAGAGGAUGCAGAAGACGCUUCGAGCUAAAUGUAAAAAUAAGCGUAGAGUUGAAGCAUCGAUGGUUAAGGCAUUCAUUACUGAGGAGGUGGCAAACUUUGUGACAGCACACUAGGAAGCCAAAUAUCAUCAUUUGCAUAAUCCGUAGCCUCGGUACAAUGAUGAAGACCCUAAAAGGGGUGGAUCUAACCUCAGCCUAUUCAAAGGGAAGCUCGCACCAGCUGGUGCUUCGAAACCAAUAACGUUGGAUGUCGAAGAAUGGCGAAACAUUUCGUUGUAUAUCUUCAACAACCUAACAGAAGUGCGGUUGUACAUCGAGUAAGUUCUCGACACAUUUUUUCAUAACUUCUAAUUCCUUUGAACUGCUCUUAUUCCUGGAUAUUUCAUACAGCCGAUACGUUGCCAAAUUCUCGGAUGGAGUGGUGACCCAAAAUGAUUUCGUCGAAGAGUAUGAGCUUCUAGCAAAUCAUGGAGGCGGCUAUCCCGGUUUCAUCUCUUGGUUCAAACAAACGGUAAUUAUCAAUAAUGGACCAUUUCAUUUCUUGGUCUAACUUUCGGCUAAUGCAACAAUCAUUUCGUAUUAAACUUGUAGGCUAAUUCAGAGUCUAUGGCCGCCGAGUUGAGACAAGCCGCUAAUGGUUUUGACUAUAAGGUCCAUUCAUUUGAGAAAUACAACAUCAAAGGGUAUCUCUUUGGUACCUUUCGCAAAGAGCUAUCUAUGCCCGACCGGAAAUCUACCAAUUGUGGUGUCUCUGCUAUCGGCAAAGGCGGUCUCGAGUAUUAUGGAAGGGUUGAAGCAAUUUAUGAACUUCAAUUAUAUGGUGAAAACCCACCGAACGUCGUAGUCUUGAAAUGUUCUUGGUUCCAUCCAAAGGAGACUACAAGGACUCAUGAACAUAUAGGACUAGUCAAAAUCUAUCCAAACACCCAUUUAGAUGUUCCCGAUGUCUAUAUUACGGCUCAACACGCGACCCAAGUUUUCUAUCUACCAUGGGCAUGCCAAACUGAUAAGAAUCUGGAAGGUUGGUAUGUUGUUUAUGAAGUGCAGCCACGUGUUAAACCAUCUCCCCCAAAUGAACAAGAUUAUGAACCUCACAUUAACUCAAACACAUAUGAUGGAGAAUUCUUCCAAGAAACACCUAUUUCCAAGAAACGUUUCAAGAACCGCCAUGCUUCACCCCAGAACAUGGAAGUAGACAACGACAAUGAAUCCAACUUCACCCCUGAGACGGAACCAACAGAGCUGGAACUAGAAGAGGUUACUGAUGGGAUGACCUGUCAAUGCUUGACUGAUUACAGAAACGCCUUCCACAACUUCAUUCGUUCAACCCGAUGAGCAUGUCAUUCAUGAAGAAAUGCGUGAUAGUGAUGAUGAUGAUGCAUUUAUUGAUGAUGAUUAUUAGUUUGUAAGAUUCCCAACUUAAAUUAUAUAUGUACGUAUUAUUAUUCAUGUGAGUUAUUCAAUUUUUUUAUGUUGUACUAAUUUAUUUUAAUCUUUAUCAUGGCAGGUCAGCAUGUGUUGAAAGAUGGUGGGCGCGGGUCUAGAUCGCUCAACAGGUUCUUCUUCGGCGGCCCGCACGAGGGGUGGUACUUCCAUUCCACCCCUAUGUCUCCGUAGAGCCUUUCCAGUCAGUCUGACGACACCACCCACGGGUGCUUCUUCGUCGGCGGCAUUGCCCACUGGGAGAGGUGCUGGCCGGGCAGGGAAGAAGGGGAAGGGUAUAGGGAGAGGUGGUGGCCGCGGAAGAGGUAGGCGGACUGUUGCGCCGUCCUCGUCACCACCACCAGCUCAUUCAUCCGAGCACAGGACUACUAUGGUGGACCCGUUUGCGGAGGAGGCUACGGGGACUCUAGUCUAGGAGCCUCGGGUGGACGGGCAUUCGGACCAUGAGACUCCGGUCCAGGAUUAGCCUCGGGUCGAGGUGCCUUCGGCCCACGAGACUCCGGUUCCUGAGGCUACGUCCUUGGAGACUUCUGCCACACACGCUUCGGCCGGCGUGGAGACGUCCGGAUGGGGUGCCUGGUCGGAUCGGACCGAGGUGCCGGAUUGGACCGAGGGUCCGAGUGGCUAUUCUGUUGAUGGCGGGGAUGAGUCUACGGAUAGUGAGGGUGACGUGCAGGUGGACGGGGCCACCGUGUACAGGCAUGGUAGUAUACGUCUCCCAGUCGCGUCGGCUACCAGCGAGCAGAGGCCGGUGAUUAAGCGUGAAGGGGAUAGGUAAGUACGUUUACUCUUUUUUUAGCUGCUGCCUUCAAGUUCCUUCAAAUAUCUAAUGCGUUGACCUUAUCAUACAGCAGGGGCUGGAAACACCCUGGUGGAGUCGACAAGCCAAACAGCAUCCUUGGUGUGCUUUGUCGGACAAAUUUCUCGGGGUUUGUCACGUUGCCUGGUGAGGGUCAGGUUCCUACACUAGGAUUUUCCUCGGAGCACUACCAGGCUGUGCAGGCCCCGUCGGAGGACAUUAUAGAUGGUGCCUUGUGCCACACGAGGGCCGAUAUGAUGAUCAACAACUUUUGGGCAAAUUAUCCUUUUACACAAUCUAAAAUUAACAAUAUAGCUAAUUAUUGUACUAAUCGGUGUUGUCUCGUUUGAUUGCAGACCUUCUAUACGUGUGAGGAGGAGGCGGCCAAGGUUAUCAAGGCCGAGUGUAGGCGGUUAUUACAGAAUUUACGCCACAAGGCUCGGCCGCGGGCCAUUCGAGACUACUAUGCCACGAUUGGUAUUAAGAAGCAGAAGAAGGAGUGCCGCGGAAAGUAUCUGAAGGAGGAGUACAUGAAGGUAAUUACCUAUUCUUAAGGCCUUGUAUGUAGUUUUCUUGAUUUGAUUCAUAGGUGUAGCGCUCAAAAUUCGAGCCGACCACGACAAUGCAAAGGAUCAGCGUAGCAAAAUGGUUGGUGUGCCACACCAUCAAGGGAGCGCCAACUUACUUCAGUUCGGACGAAACUGGGUAUGUGGUUUGCUUCAUGAUUCAUGCAAUUCAUUCUUCAUGCUAGCUUGAGCCCCUUACUAAUACUUUGUUCCUCUCUUUUAGGCGCACCAUAAUAAGAUGGAGAUGCCAAAGUUCUACGACCUUUAUGGCAUGGCCCAUACCGCCUCGUACAAGAAGGUGAAGGCAUUCUGUGAGUCUAACCUGGAUGAUCCAAAUAACUUCACCAGCAUCUCAUCCCACCACAAGCUCAUGAAAUACAGGUACACAGGAAAGGCUUGGAAAGGGGAGGACUUUAACCCAAGCCAGGAACCUUUGGAUCCAGAGCUCGUGAUGAUAUCUGGUGGCGGGAGGCCCCAUGGCUCGAUAGCCAUUGGAGAUGGGAUAAUACGUUGUCCACUCACUCUCCCGGAGAUCAAGGCGCGCCAGUCAAGCUCCUGUCCUAAGAUAACGCCUGGUCCACGGGCAGUCGAUCUUGCCAUCGAGGUUAGUUGUACGGACUCAGAAAACUUCCAUCCAUUUCAUUGUGUGUGUGCCAUCGAUCAUUACUGUGGUAGCGAGGAAUGGUGUUGCAGGUUGCUCUUAAGAAAGAGAGAGUGGCAAACGAAGCUGCUCUUGAGAAAGAGAGAGCCGCAAGCCAGGCUGCUCUUGAGGAGAGAGACCAGACCACAGCUCGGUUGAUUGAGGGGGAGAGGGCCCGCAAUGAGGUGGCUCACCUCGUCAUGUACGAGCUUAUUGUGGUAAGUUUCUUUUUCACAUUAGCCAAAUCAUGUGUGUAAUGUAUGCUUCAUUACUAACUAAUACGACUGACUCUUCAAAACCGAAUGUGCAGUCUAUGUACGAGAAUACCGGUCAAGCCCCUUCACCGAUGCCCAUCUUCUGUGCGAUUGGCACGGUGAGUUUCAUAUCAAUGGUCAUUAUAAACUAGUAUUAACAAUUGAGUGUCAUCAUGCUAACCGAGACAUUGCAAAAUAUCUUUUCUGCAGAAUAACUCCCGAGAGGCAUCGCACGACCCUUCUCCAGGGCAACUGUCUCCAAACGAAGCCGACGCAAGGACCCUGGUGUUUCUCCUCCUUCAUGACCAAUGUGGUAAGUUUUCUCCAAAAUGACAAAAUAAGCUCCUACUUGAUUUCUACUAGGAAAAAUAGUUAGUGAAACCACUAGGUUCAUAACUUAGCUAAUUUAGCUCCAAAAUGGUUAGUGAAACCACUAGUCUCAUAACUUAGCUAAUUUAGCUCCAAAAUGACAUAAUAAGCUCGAUUGAAAUAGUAAAAAUGAAAAGAAGAAAUAAGAAGAAGAAGAGAAGNNNNNNNNNNNNNNNNNNNNNNNNNNNNNNNNNNNNNNNNNNNNNNNNNNNNNNNNNNNNNNNNNNNNNNNNNNNNNNNNNNNNNNNNNNNNNNNNNNNNNNNNNNNNNNNNNNNNNNNNNNNNNNNNNNNNNNNNNNNNNNNNNNNNNNNNNNNNNNNNNNNNNNNNNNNNNNNNNNNNNNNNNNNNNNNNNNNNNNNNNNNNNNNNNNNNNNNNNNNNNNNNNNNNNNNNNNNNNNNNNNNNNNNNNNNNNNNNNNNNNNNNNNNCUUCUCCUCCUCCUCCUUAUUCUUCUUAUUCUUCUUCUCCUUCUUCUCUUCUUUCUUCUUCUCUUUCUUCUUAAAUUUAGCUUAUUUUCCCCAACAAAGACAUACUUAGCUAAUUAUCCUCCAAAAUGACAUAAUUAGCUUAGUUAGGCAAAAACAUCAUAAGAACCUUGGUUAGCUCAUUAAAAUGACUAAUUAAGCUCCUAAAAGACAUUAUAAGCUCAAAAUGGCAUAAGAACCUUGGUUAGCUCAUUAAUAUUAUAUACUUAGCUUGUUUUCCUCUAUAAUGACAUAAUUUGCCCAUUUAGCUCNUCAAAAUGAUAUAAUUAGCUUAGUUAGGUAAAAACAUCAUAAGGACCUUGGUUAGCUCAUUAAAAUGACUAAUUAAGAUCCUAAAAGACAUUAUAAGCUCCAAAUGGCAUAAGAACCUUGGUUAGCUCAUUAAUAUUAUAUACUUAGCUUGUUUUCCUCUAUAAUGACAUAAUUUGCCCAUUUAGCUCNGGAGUGCUUUAGUUCUAGUUUUCAUUUGAGUUGAUGAACAAUGUGGAACUAUAUGUAUAUGUAUAUAUGGAUGAAGAAUAUAUGUGGAACUACAUGUAUAUGUAAAUAUUGCUGAAACUUUGUUUAUGUUGGUUAUUUUGAUAUAUGCGAUGUACAUUGAUGAACAAAUGGCAUUGAUGAACUUUAUAUGUAUAUCAUAUAUGUGUUCUGACCUAUAUAUCAUAUCUGUGCUAUGAAUUAUAUAUAAAUAUAUUUCUUGUGUGUUUAGUAACUAGGCAAGAUGAGUGUGUUGGAAAUAUGCCCUAGAGGCGAUAAUAAAAUGGUUAUUAUCAUAUUUCCUUGUUCAUGAUAAUCGUCUAUUGUUCAUGCUAUAAUUGUAUUAACAGGAAACAGUAAUACAAGUGUGAAUAAAUAGAUCACAAUGUGUCCCUAGCAAGCCUCUAGUUAGCUAGCUCGUUAGUCAAUAGAUGAUCAUGGUUUCCUGAUCAUGGGCAUUAGAUGUCAUUGAUGACGGGAUCACAUCAUUGGAGAAUGAUGUGAUGGACAAGACCCAAUCCUAAGCAUAGCACUAGAUCAUAUUGUUGGUAUGCUAAAGCUUUUCUAAUGUCAAGUGUAUUUUAUUUCAACCGUGAGAUUGUGCAACUCCCGGAUACCGUAGGAGUGCUUUGGGUGUAUCAAACGUCACAACAUAACUGGGUGACUAUAAAGGUGCACUACGGGUACCUCCGAAAGUGUCUGUNGCGGAUGGCAAAGGCCUUUGCCAUCAGGCAGCUGAUGGCAAAGGUGCCACGUGGCACCCAGCUGUGCAACCUGGGCAGCAACAGUUGGCCGUAUGGGCUCUUUGUCGUCCGCUGCCUCGGGAGGCUAACGGCACAGCGGUAGGGAGGCAAACGGCAAAGAGUAUGAUCCCUGCGCUGGCCCAACUCUGUGCUGGCCAUAGAAGCAGAUGACAAAGAGGGGGAGGGACGCAGACGACAAAGAGAGGGAGGGAGGCAUACGACAAAGAGAGGGAGGAAGGAAGAUGGCAACUAGAGGGAGGAAGGCAAACGACAAAGCCUCUGUUAGCCCUAACGGAGGCGUUGCCUGUCGGCUGCCCUCUAAGCAUGUUUGUCGUCUGCUCUAUGCCAGAGGCUGACGGCAAAGACCUUUGCCAUCCGCUUAAGGAAGACUGACGACAAAGAAGGUGAUAUGUCGUCGAAAGUCAUCGUAGGAACAUUGCCGACAGGAGGCUGACGACAAAGACCUUUGCCGUCGGUGGAUCACCUCUUUGCCGUCUGUUAUGGCAGACGGCAAUGAGUCCGAUUCCUCUAGUGAUUGGUGCUAAAAAUGUGGUAUUGACCAUUAUUUAGUUGUUGAGGAUUGCUGUGAAAUCCAUACUGAUUGCUAUUUUGUUGAUUUCCUUGGUCAGAACGCUACCUAUUACCAGUAUUCUCUUGGUGCUGAUAUUCUAAUCUAGAACCGCCUGGUUCGUUAAAUCCGGACCCUAAGAAACCUCAAGACGAGCCGCCUUGCGGGCCAGGUUGUUCAUACUGACCCGAAUGUCCACCAUUAUCCCCAAGGUGGCAUUGAAAGGCUUGAUUUCUAAACUCCUGCAUGAUAUAGAAAUUUUCCCAUGAAUGAUUAGAUGGCUUAUCCUGAGUGCUAUCCUUUAGUCAAGGCGCCUUGAGGGCCUCCUCAUAGUUAUGUGGCUUAUUCCCUUAUAAGGUCCUUCGGAACGGCGCUGGUGUUUAAAUUCAGUGUUGGUAUUGGCCACAAAUUCUGAACUGCCCUCAGACUACCUCCGUUUAUUGUUGUGGUUUCCCUGGUUUCCACUUUGUUGGUUACCUUUGGCACCUUCUCCUUUCUUGCACUUGUCGGUCUUGUCCUCGUCUGACCCAGGGUCUUUCGUGCCACCUGACUCGGCGUACCUUGUCAGAACGUCCAUCAAGUCGCCCAUGUAUUGAGUCUUUCGCUUCAAACGACCCAACUUAAGCACCAAUGGCUGGAAAUGACAAUUCUUCUCCAGGUUUAGAACGGCUUGUGAGGCUAUUAUACUAUCCGAUGAAUCAAUUAUUUCUGCAACCGACGAGUCCAAUGAUGGGCUCACUCGCCCGUCCGCUGAACGUAAUGCUGGAGAUCCACAAUUGUCAUCGGGCGCUUGCAUGUUCCUUAGAAUUUUUUUACGAAUCGUUCCUUCAACUCCGCCCAAGUGUUGAUGGAAUUAGGUGGAUGUUUUUUAAGCCAAGUUAGGGCUGGCCCUUCUAACAUCAUCAUCACAUACUUUGCCCAUACCUCAUCACUGACGUCGAGCAUGUCCAUGGCUAGCUCGUAACUUCCAAUCCAUACCACCACCUCAAGAUCUGAUGUAUAGUUUGGCACAUUGCGCGGUCCUUUCAAGUCUUUGGGCAUGGGCUCGCUACGAAGAGCCAGAGAUAAGCAUGGAACACCGAUUGUCCUGGUGCUACUUCUGGCUCCAUGUGUUGCUUAUUGUGGUUCCGCUACAUGCGGUUGAGCCGCCCGCCUCAUGGCCGCUUCUGCCUCCACCUGACGGGCGGCUCUUGCCGCGUCCACCAAGUCUUAGGAAUUCUGAAAUCCUGGACCAGUCGGGGAAACCCAAAGCUGUUGUCGCCACACGUUACUGGAAACAGCCGAUGACUCCCCAUGGCGGAUGAUAUAAGGUGUGGAGUGCAUUCGAUCUCGACUGUAUGAGUACUGCACCUGUUGGGCCACUGCCAUCUUCAGCAUCUCAGUCGCGUUCCUAGCUUCAAUUUCCACCGGGGUGUUUCCAUGUAUAGGGAGCGACUCCAAGUGACGCAUUGCAGCCAACAUAUGGUCAACGGGGUUGGAAAAUAACCCUGUGGUGUGUAAAAAUGAUGUGGCCAUGCCUGAGCUGGUUGUGCCUUAGCCAGUUGUGCCUAAGCUGGUUGUGCCUCAUCUGGCUAUCCCUGAUCAUGCGGCGGGUUCCGUGCAGCGUGAGGACUGUGGGGACUAGCAAAUAGGAGCGUCGGUGUUACGUCUAGUGGUAACCAAGAUUGAUGUCUCCUCAAGUGAAUCGCCUCUUUUGUCUGUUAUCGAAGUCCAAGCUGCCACGCCUCUACCCGUAAAUGCUCCAACUCAUCACCGACUCGAUCCUGUGUCUCUGCAAACCGUAUGUUUUCAGUGUCGAUCUCUUUCUGAACCUUGAUCAUCUUUGUGCAGAGUUUUGCUAGUUCUGCAUUACGUUCUUCUCAGUUCUCGUUGAUUAUUGUAUCCUCCAAGAGAUUAGUCAUCUCGGCAUUCAGGUCACUCAUGGCUUGAGACAACGUUUUACUCGACCCACCAGCCUCAUUGGUGGCUCCUGCUGUAGCUGGAUCUGAUGAAGGCGCGACUCAAGCCAUGUAAAUAGUGACUUGCCAAGGUGGGUCAUCUGGCUCCGUCGUAGCUUCUUCCUCCAGAGCUUCCCCAAGCUCGUUACUAAGGGGAAAGAUGGAUCCGGUGUAUCUCAUGGAGGACUCGCCAUCAUGGUUGUCAUUGUCGAGGAUGUCCUCAACGUUUGCCGGUUCAUCCGCAAGGCUGAGCCCCUAGGUCAAUCCGACAAACAUGUGACGACUAUGUGUUUGGAAAUGACCGUGUCGGUCGCGCCGAGUCAGCUCGUUGACGGUGGUGUAUAUGUCCGACCCGAGCAUCCUUGCGCAGAUCUGACCGAAGGGGAUCUGCGAAUUAGUUUCUCCUAAGCCGACCUUAAAGCCCUAACCUAUGUUGUUGAUGUAGCGAUUGUUGCGAUGAUUCUUGAUCAUCUUGGCCACCGCGCGACUCCCAAAUCCCGGAAGAGUUCCCUCUGAGUACUCAACUCCACCUUGUGAUUGCCCCAUGGUGGGCGCCAACUGUCGUGGUUUUUUCGCGGCAGAUGUCCUCAUGAAUGGACUUAGUGGUGAGACCAUUGUCGUGAUGUGGGGACUCGAAGGGGUUGAUUGGGAAACAAAAGGCGGAUUUACCCAGCUUCAACCCCUCCGAUGGAGGUAAAAGCCUACGUCCUGCUUUGUGUUUGUAUUGAUGGCAAUCUCGAUUACAAGGGUGCGGAAUCGCUAACCUAGCUCUCGAGGGUUUCUAACUUGAUAUCUCUGGCUUGAGGGUCCUCCUUUAUAUAUAGGUAGAGGCCCCAAGUCUACAGUGAAGUCUCAGUCAAAUAAACAGUCGGGUGCUACUACAAAUCUACCUUAUCUUUCUUCCUAAGUGAGGAAAGCUUCUAGUGUCUCUUGCCAUGUUCAUCUUUGAGUCGCCGCCUUCUGGUGAUGGGCCACUUGGGGGCUUUGUCGACUAAGUCCGCCGGCCCAUAUUCUCAUCUUUUCCUUGCGGCUUGACCCGCCCUCAUAAGGCGGAUUAAAUCCUGGGGUUAUAUCCCCGACACUCGGGAAGAAAACUGGUCGGCGCAUACCGAGUUCAGAUCCGGAGCCCCCGUGAGGCUAACCUCGUGUGUUAGAAAAGGUAUUGACUGGGGAUCGGCCUUGGAGGUGAAUGCGCUAUAGAAGCACAUCACACAGAUGGGGGAGGCGAAUAUCAAGCUGACCAACGUGGUUCAGGUCAUGCUCCGCCGUUGCAUCCUUCCCUGCGAGCGUCGGGACACUCCAAUGUGGUCCUACAAGCUUGGUGACCCCAAGACCGUGCACCAGUUCUACCACACUACCCAUGAGAAAUUGUGGAGGGUGUUGUUCAAACCUCAACAGGAAUGGCCGGUCGAGGAAGAAGACGCCGGCUUUGAUGCCGAUCACCCUCCCUUGGAGGAAUAACUGAGCUUUUAUCUUAUUUAAAGCUUUAAUAUUUAGCAAGGAGCUUAUCCUUUCCACCAUCAUCCCUGUAGGGCUGGUUGAACAAGGCCGUGAAAAUAAACAACCCAGCCACCUACCUGAGGACCCCAGGUCGCCAUUGUUGAUCGUGAUGCUGGUGGUGGCGCCAUACACGACACUAGAGAAAAAAGAGAAAAAGAAAAGGGAGGCCCGCGGGGGUCUCCGCUCGAGGGGUCCUCCGGAUACCAAGUUCGGAGACACCCAUGCUUCCUCCACCUACGAGAAAGAGGAUGCACAUGACGGAGAGGAGAAAGAUUCCCUCCGAACAAGAAAGAGGACGGCGCUGGAGGAGGCCAAGGAGGGCUUGCCUCCUCAGGCCCGGAAGAGGCCCUACAGGAGCAAGGUCAUCCAUUCCGACGAUAUCUCAAAUUCUGAUGGGGACUCCGGGGCCUUUGAGAGGGUUCCCCGAAGGAACCCCAGGAUCAAGCCCUGUCGAAAGGUAUGGAAUCCAAACUUUAUUUAUUGGAAUUAUACUGAGCAUUUGUUAAUAAACAUACGUGCUCCUUUCCUUGACGCAGCCCUACCUGAAACCUCUUGACGAACCAGGUCUAAAAGGGGGGUUCACCACCGGCCAAGCUAGCGGAGAGCGGGAAUGUGUCCCGUACUACUCUCCCUUGGGCAUCGGACGAGGUUGCGGAGGUGAUAUCCCACCAGGCCCCUCCGAACAUGGGGGACGAGGUGGUGAUGGCCGAGGUUCAUACGUCGGCCACCGAAGAUCGAGAGGUCCCAGACAAAGUUCAUGCCUCGGUCACCGAAACCCAAGAGGUUGGCCCCCUCCUGACGAGUGGGGAGGGGGGCCGUGAUUCUUCUCAGCUUCCUCCGGAGGUAGCUCCAGGGACCUCUGAUCCUCUGAUGUCUUCAACGUUGCUUCUGAUGCCGCCUACGACAGAAGGGCUACGACCGAGUGGCCUGCAAUGAUGGAGGAGGCUUUAUCCAGCUCAUCCAUUGCCGAUGAACAUCGCACCCUUAUGGGUGCAAUCCUACAAAGCAUUCAGUCCGUUGACUGUGGACUGAAGGGAGCCUUCAGCGGUUUGCUGGCAGGCUUCAAGGUAAACCAUGUAGUGUUAGAUUUAUUUAUAAGGUUCUACAUGCCUUAUAGGUAUGACAGCCCCCAAGCCAUGGGUGAGUUGAAACACUUACCCAUGGAUGAAAAGAACUUAUAGACAUGAAUAAAAAUAGUUCGGGGACCCUUGAACUAUAAUAACUCAGGGAGGGGGGGUACUUUGACCAAAUGUCCUAGUCCCGUUAGCUCGGAUGCUUGUCAAUCCAGAACUUGUCUCGCAGGCCUCGUCCUUGGUUGUGGCCACCAACACCCUUGAACUUUCCGAACUAGACCGAAAACUCAAGGUUUCCGAUGAAGAACUCAGCCGUCUUAAUAGUAGGCUCGACGAGAAGCAGGGUAAGCUUGAUGUGUGCCAGUAAGACUCUUGUUGUACUUAACAAUUUAGUACUGUCUGGCUUUGGUAUAUGACAUAUUUAUUCCGAUUAUGUUAGCAUCUAUGGACGUGGAGUUAGAGAAACUCAAGGCCGAAUUGGAAAAGGCCAAGCAGGAGGCUGUCGCGCAUAAGAUGGUGGCCGAGCAGACAACUGCUGAACUAAGCUCGUUGAAGGUUGAGAGCAGCGGGCACAAGACUAGAGUGGCCGAGGUCUAUCAGGAGCUUCAAGAUGCGAGCGCUAAGAGCGAGGCCUUGGAACAAAAAUCCAAAGAACAAGCGGCCGAGCUAUCGGAGUUGUCCUCCGAGCUCAAUCAGAGCGGUUAGAGAGGCGCUUUUUCAAAGAAGAAGUGCGCCAAGCCAAGAAUAUUGCAGAUGGUAAGCCAUACUUACUGCAAUGUGCCUUUGGUGGAAACAUGUUUGCCUUUCUUACAUGGCUAUGGCGUUCCCCAGUCGGCUUUACGGACCUCCUGUGGAGUGCAGCACACACGGCCAAGCGCUAUGCGGCCCAAGAAGGGGACACCGAGCAGAGGCUUUUCUGGGCACAGUUUCAGACUCCCGAGCCCAAGCCCCUUCUCGUCUACUAGAUGAAAUAGCUCAUGGAGUUGCACAGGAUGGCAGAGCUGGCCAUGAAGGACCUCUGCAUCCGGUUGUGGCCUGCCAAGCCUCUUCCAAGCAGUUACUUCAGCUUAGUGCGGAAGUUGUACAACGACGUGCGUCAAAUCGAGGCCCUGAAGCGCUCUGUUUGCAUAGAGGGAGCUCGGAUGGCUUUUGCGAGGACCAUGAUGCACAGGCCAGGGGAGAAUCCCCUUACGAUGGCAACCGCACCUCCGCCUCUUGGAAAGGAGCACAGGCGUCCAAAGCUUUAUUUCUCUACCGCAGCGGAGGGUGCUCGGGCCAUAGAACUUUGGAUUUUUGUUCGAAGGCCUCGCUCUUGGUGCUCGCAUCUUGAAGCUCGGGUAAUUUUUGAGUGAGGAUAUCGUUGUCUGCCUUGGAACAAUUUAUUAUUAUGAAGCUUGUCCCACUGUAAUGCACUUUGUAUUAUUUUGACUGUUGUGUGGCCGUUUAAUCUCAAAGUUUCCAGUCGUCGGCUUCAUCCCCCAUGUAAAGACUACAAGGGGUGUUUCGACAUCUGCACUGUGACCCUUAGCCGAUAUAUCGGUGCCGGAGGCGGUAGUGUGUGAAGGAAAUGAGGGAAUCGGACUAUGCGACUUUAGUGCUUUCACUUAGCCUUAGGAGCUUGAAUUCGAGGGCUGACUACGAGUCUCCAUUUUUUUGUGGUAGUGGGAUGAACCAGAUUUUGAGACAUUUACCACAAGGUUUGCAAAGAAACAAACACCUCUAUAUGACACGGAAUAAAACCUCCAUCGGUCUUUCGUACUUAAGCUCGGAUUGCAGACCAGUUCUCGCUUAUUAUGACAGUCAGUUUUCGGCUUUCUCCACUGAGGUAUUUUAGCCAGGCUAGUUGGGAAUACAAUCGCAGUGGUUCUCCCUUUACCCCUUUAGCUGAACCAGUAGAACAUAAGGGGGUAAGAACAGGAGCGGGGCAACCCAAUUAUCGACCCAAGACAUGAUUCUGAACCGAUGCAUAUAAAGCAAUAUCAUAGAAACCGAACACUUAAAAAGUAGUGAUGGGGUAGUGCUCGGGGAAGUACUUUCAUCCAAGCCCCUGUCUAUUAGCCCAUCGCACUUGAUAUUUAUUGAACAAUUUUACCCAUCGACGCCAAUGAGCAGGAAACAUAUAUAUGUAAAGAUACUGUAAAAGAGUAUAUAAAUAGUAUUUGCUAGGAAUUUUUAUAAUUUGUGGCACCAAGGUAGUUGUUAUAGGUAACUAUUGUUUUGAACAACAUAUUUCAAAGCAACUUUCUUCCACACGACCUUCCAAGGGUGACUUGACGUUCGCCCUGCUUCUAGCUGCACAAUUUCUCCUAUGCUUUCUAUAAGGGAGGGGUAGUAUCCUUUAAUGGUGGUUGUUUUCUACAAACGGACCUUGAAUAGAUGGUCUUGAAAAGCUGUCGUGGUAUGGGUGAGCUUGAUGCUUGGGAGAUCCUUAAUGGUAUCUCAUUUUUUGUCCGUGAAUACGUUUGGACGUAGUUUGGUCGAACCGAACAUAUGGUCCUUGGUAGUGGAUCCCCACAGCUGCCCAUGGUAUUUUGAGAAUGAAAUUGUGUCUACGAGGGACAUACCUUAUGGGUGACCGGGCCAUGCCAUGGGGAGCGUAUCCCUAUUUUCUUUGAGACAGAGAUAUCUCCGGGGGAUCCGAUUGAGCUCGGGCUCGCUUGCUCGCCUACCACGCCUUGAUGGCUAGCUUGUGUCGUGCUGCUUCUUUUUUGUAUUAGCAUUCAGCUGCCAAGGUCGCUGUGUGCUCCUCGGUACGGAGGGAGCGUUCUGUGUUGUCGUUGAUGGUGAUAACUCCCCUGGGUCCGGCCAUUUUGAGCUUUAGGUAGGCGUAAUGGGGAAGAGCGUUGAAGCGGGCGAACACCGUGCGGCGGAGUAGUGGGUGAUACCUGCUGUAGAAGGUGACGAUGUUGAAGAUUAAGUCUUCGAUGCGGAAGUUGUAGGUCAGCCGAACACAACCUCCAGCAUUACCGUGUCGGAGCAGCGGGAUCACUCCUUUGAAGGUAGUGUUGCUGGGUUUGAUUCUUGAUGGGUCUAUGCCCAUCUUAUUUGUCGUAUCUGAGUAAAUCAGGUUAAGGCUACUUCCUUCGUCCUUAAGGACUCUAGUGUGGUGGUACCCAUAUAUGAUGAGGUCUACAACAAGGGCGGCCAGCCCUCCAUGACUGAUACUGGUCGGAUGAUCCCUACGGUCGAAGGUGAUCGGGAAAGCCGACCAUGGGUUGCACAUCGGGGUUAUGGGCUCUAUGGCAUAUACCUCCCAAAGGGCUUGCUUCGUCUCCUUCUUUGGUAUGUGAGUAAUGUAUAUCAUAUUCACGGUUUUCACCUCUAGGGGAACUGUUUUUGGCCCGAGUUGUUCGGAACGCGGGCUCUUCAUCAUCCUCGUUUCGUGGGCCCUUGCCUUGUUCGUCGGUUGCUACUUUGCCAACCUAUUUAAACACUCAACAGUUACGAUUUGUGUGGGUGGCGGUCUUGUCUUGGGUGCCAUGGAUCUAGAGAGGCCUUUACAUAAUACUAUCUAAUGUAGUCAGUCCAUUCCUGUUCCAUUUAAAUGGUUUCUUUCGCUGUCCGGGUUUUGAGCUGCGGAAGCCAGCAUUUAGGGUUGUGUCAACGGCGUCACCUUUACGGUGGCGGAGUUUGGUCUUGUUUUUCCUUGGCUUGCCAUUUCCAUCCUGAACUUUAGAGGUACCGGGGUCGUCCGCAUUAUGGUCGCGCCGAGCUAGAAAAUUGUCCUUGCCCGCGCAAAAGCGGAACAUGAGGGAAGUGAGAGCGGACAUUUUAUCGGCCUAUCCUCGCCGACCUGGCGAGCCAACCAUUCGUCCUGGGUAUUGUGCGUGAAGGAGGUUGUCGCAUUGUCAUCCGGACAAUCCACGAUCUAGUUCUUCUUUGUUAGGAACCUAUUCGAGAAUCCUAUGGCCGAUUCGCCCGCGUUUUGGAUGGCGUUGCUUAGGUUGGAGGAAUCCGGUGGUCGAACGUAAGUUCCCUGAAAAUUAGACAGGAAGGCUUCUUCAAGGUCUUACCAACAUCCGAUGGAAUUUUCAGGUAAGCUAUUUAGCCACUACCGUACUGGCCCUUUCAGCUUUAGGCGUAGUUACUUGAUGGCGUGGAGGUCAUCUCCCCUGGCCAUAUGAAUGUGGAGAAGGAAAUCUUCUAUUCACACGGCGGGGUCCGUAGUCCCGUCGUAUUGUUGUAUGUUCAUGGGUUCAAACCCUUCCGGGAAUUGGUGUUGCAUGACCUCAUUUGUAAAGCACAAUGGGUGGGCGACGCCUCUGACCCAGGCUAUACUGUGCCAGCGAUCGGCUGUUGGUUUUGCUCGGUACGAUUCUCGAUCUCUAUUGAUGUGGGUAAACCAAGGUUGGUCUCCGUCCCAUCGAGUGGGAGAGUACCUUCUAGAUCCAUACAUGGACCUAUUGCGACCUGUUCUGUUGUCCAAGUCGUGACGUAGGUCAUGUCUACCCCUGGGUUGCACAUGAUCCUUUCCCUUCCUGCUGGGAGGCUCGGGUCCAUACUCGGCUUCUCCGGCCGCUCUGUCACGCCCUCGAGGUUGGCAAUCGGGCUGAUCAUACUGGGUGCGCCUGGGGGACACGGGCUCUCGGGCCUCGUCAUCGAACUGAGGCAGCACGCGUCGGCGUGGGUACCUUUUGUUCUGAUCUAGCCACUCGGUGCCAUAUCCUUCUUUAUUUGCCAAUACUUUUGUCCAUCUAUUGUUUAUGGUGUCAUGUUUGGCUUGGAGCCGCUGUUGCUUCGCUUGGAGGCUGCGGGCGAUAGCUACGAGUUGUUGCUUGAACCGUUCCUGACCCUCAAGGUCCUCGAGAACUAUGAAGUCUUCGGCCUUUAUACUAUCUUUCGCGUCAUCACGAGGGAGGUAGUUGUCAUCAUCUGAAUCAUCGGGGUCGUCGGGAUCGGAUUGGCCCUCGGGCUUGUUCGGGAGCUCCGAGGUUGUCGGGGGUCCUCUGGGGUUGUAUUUUCCCCGGUGCCAUCUAUGGCCCCACUUACUUUGUUUGCCUUGGCUUGUUUACGCUACCUCUGGCGCUUUGAUUGCUUUUCCCUAGACUUAUCGUCAUUUUGUUUGGGGGUAUGAUCGCCAUUGUCGUCGGGUGUGUCCACCAUGUAGACGUCGUAAGUGGAGGUGGCAGCCCACCGCCCGGUAUUUACAGGGGCGGGGUCACCGGCCACAUCAUCCAUGUCUUCAACCUCCUCGAAGGCGUAAUCCAACAUGUCGGUUAAGACUUCGACGGUGGCAACCAAGUGGGUGGUGGGUGGGCUGUGAACUUCCUCAUAAUCCGCAUCCAAACUGAUCCGACUAUAGGUCGGGCUCGGGCCAUCCAUAGUUUUCAAUGACUGGAUCUGGUCAAGCGUCUCAUUUAACAUCGAGAGGUUGUCCUGGUCGAUUUCUUGAUGAUUUUAGGAGUUGACCUCCGUUUCUUCCGUGAGGGACGGGUAUUCAGGAAUGGCUGUUGCCUGGGUACUGAGAUUGGGUCCGGGCUCAAAGACAACUCUCUGACAAAGAGGGAACCGAGGUCAUGGCCGGGCAAGAGACCCGAAGUCAAGGCUUCAGGAUUUUGGGGUUCAUCGCACGAAGCCAUGAUCUUAGCAGGGAAAAGAUCUCCCGAGGAGUCGCUCAAGAAUUCAAGAUUCUCGAACCUUAUCUCCUGACUGGGGACGAAGCCUCCGAUCUAGCCAAGGCGGCCGAUCGGGUCGGCGCGCAGCGUGACGCUGCCGAACGCGAGAACCUGCCUUGGAACAAAGAUGUCCCUGUUUCCAAUUCGAUCGCUGAUGAUUACACGAGCCAUCAAUCCUUCCGGUGAACUAACAGGAGAACUCUCAAUGAAAGCACCAUUGUCGGUGUCAAAACUGGCGGAUCUCGGGUAGGGGCUCCUGAGAUGUGAACCUUGUAUGGAUGGGUUACACGGCACAAAGAGGACAAUGUUUACCCAGGUUCGGGCCCUCUUGAGGAGGUAAAACUCUAUGUCCUCCAUGAUUAUAUUGAUAUGUAUGAGGAUUAAAGAGUUGACCUACCUUGAGAUCGUAUGAGCUAAAACCCUAGAUGAGUCAACUUGUCUAUGAGGAUGAAACCCACUUGUUUAUAUAGACACCACGGGUUCCUCGGGUUAUAUACAACCGACCUCCAGCCGGGGAUAGAUGCGUCGAUCUGGAGUACUCAACUUGGAUGACACACCAGUCUUCGGAGCUUUCCUUCUUGAACACGAGGUCGUCACGUAGUCCGGUCUUCAACAAUAAGGCCCAUUAGGUCGGCCUCUAAUAAAUGAAUCGACCGCCCGAGGACUCCUUAGUCCCGGACUCCCCCAGUGGUGCCUAGUGGGGAGCCCUUAAGUCGGAUGAGGAUCUUCUUCGGGCACAAGAAAGCUAAUUUACGGAUAAAUUCCCUCAAAAUUCCAGCACGAUCGGAGUUAAGGAUCUCCAAGAAUUUAAGAAACAGUGAAGGGCAAGAAAACGAGAACGCCAAACAGAACAGAACAGAGAGGGAGAUCCAAUAUCAGAGGGGCUCUUGCCCCUCUGCAGCCAUGGAGGCCAUGGACCAGAGGGAGAACUCUCCUCCCAUCUAGGGGGGGCAAGGAAGAGGAGGGAGGGGGCUCUCAACCCCUCUCUUACGGUGGCACCGGAGUGCCACCGGGGCAAGGAGUGUGACGAUGAUCUACAUCAGCAAGCUUGCCGCCGUCAACACCAACUCCCCCCUCUAUGCAGCGGUGUAAGACCUCUUUUCCCGAUGUAACUCUCUAUUUAAACAUGGUGCUCAACACUACAUACUAUUUGCCAAUGAUACGUGGCUAUUCUAUAAUGUUUGAAUAGAUCCGUUUUGUCCUGCGGGUUAAUUGUGAUAUGAUUUUAUUGUGUUUAUAUGAUGUUGUCCUAAGGUGCCUUCUGUGAGGCGCACACGCGAAGGAUACAUGCUGGAGGGUUUGCAUUAUGUUCAUGAUUCGCUUAUAGUGGGUGGCGAGAGUGACAGAAACUUACAACCGAGUAAGGGAGUUGUCCGCACAUGGGAGUAAAGAGGACUUGAUGUUUAAUGCUAUGGUUGGGUUUACCUUAACGAUUUCUAGUAGUUGUGGAUGCUUGCUAGAGGUCUAAUCAUAAGUGCAUAUGAUCCAAGUACGGAAAGUGUGUUAGCAUAUGCCUCUCCCUCAUUGCACAUGAUAAGUAUCUAUCAUGUUAGAGGUCCAAUCAUAGUUUCAUACUUGUUCUAGGUAAAGUAAGUGUUUGCACGCAUAGAGUUGUAUCGAUGGUCGAUACAACUUGAGAGAAUAUUAGUUCUACCUUUAGCUCCUUGUUGGGUUCGACACUCUUGCUUAUCAAAAAGGGCUACAAACGAUUCCCUACACUUGUGGGUUAUCAGUGAGUAUCCUGGCGACACGAAGGCGAGCACAUGACUGGUGGCGACCUCGAUGAUCGCUCGGGUCAGAGAUGCCUGUGGCAUGGUCUCAUGUCCGUCCUCGUCAAGGACAAUGAUGUCGUUCCCCGGAGGUGGAAUUUCUUCAACAUGUGCGAUGGGGUCAAUGUGCAACAUUUCUACUUACGAACUGGCAUGCAUCCAGUCGGUCACCACCGGCACGAGAGGCAUGAAGUACAGCGCAGCUGGCUCAAGGGCCUGCACCGACAGUUGCAUGAAGGGUUGCAUAACCGGCUCUAGGGCCUGCAAUGGCAUGCUCUCAACACUAAUUUGGUGGUGGUAACAAUGACCUCGGUGACGCUGGUUCCAACCUCCAUCGAAGAGGCGAAGGUCGCACACUCGAUACUAGAAGCGGCGGAGUCUGCCAACACCAUGGCGGAGGUGGUGAGCAACGAAACGGCGGCAACGGUCAUCAUUAUGAAGAAGGCGAAGAAACGGAGAAAUCAUCUUUCGCCUCUAGUUCAUGUCGAUCUUGUUCUCUGCCGGGAAGAUUUUUCUCUAUUGAAAAGUGAUGUGUGUGAUAAUGUGCUAAAAGAAACAAAGAGCAAACUAGAGACAAAUAAAAAGAAUGAACAUAUGUAAUAUUUAUUGAUCAUGUUCAUGUAUACAUGCAAUCGGCACGAAAGCAUCCAAGAGAUGCGUCCAUUGGUGAAGGCGUCAAUCGAAAGGAGCAACCGACGCACAAUUGCAAAAAAUGGCAACCACACACAUGUUGCGGGAAUGUAGGGAUUCCUCUAACUAACCAUUGAGGUUAAUUUGGCUUAACACUCUGAAUUGCAUCACGUUUCUACCAUUAUUGUGCCGAAGUGCUAGGAUUUUGUCGUGGUUGUUCUCACAGUGAGGGUGCUCCUACUUGGCAAGGUACUAAGACUUGUUUCUUUUGCCUACAUGACAAGUCUAUUAAACACCUAUGUUAACUUUGAUGGUAGGUUUAAUCAUGCAACAUAGGCCAUAAAUCAAAUAGAUUCAAAACCUUACACCUCCCCCAUGUAGUGUGUGUAAUAUGUUCGACAACUCGCGACGGGGUGCCGACAAACAUUUUUCUGCAUGUAUUCUUGUGGGACUGCCAACAUUUAUGUUGGACUUUUGUUUCAUCAUGGAUGUCCAUGUAAUCUUCAGAUAAGAUCUAACCCAUCUUCCCAUGCAAGUAUCUCGGCCUUUCACUAUCCAUAAGGAAGCUCACGACGGCACAAUAUCAAGGCCUUGUGGAUCAUCUCGUAGCGCGCCUACCAUCUUGGAAGUCAGCAGGCCUUCCCAAGAGCGAUCACUUAUUGCUGGUACAAUCCGUUCUCUCGACAAUCCUGAUCCACUCAAUGUUGGCCCUUGAUCUGGCUCUAAAGACUUUGGUUGCCCUAAUCAAGAUAUGCCGCAAAUUCCUUUGGGUCGGCAAGGCAGAUGCGCGAGGAGGUGCAUGUGCGAUGGCCUGGGAGAGAGUGUGCACUCCUAGGUGCGUCAGACGCCUAGGUAUCCUUGACAUGUGAUGGAUGAAUGUGGCCCUUCGGGCCAAGUGGUUGUGGUUGAGUAGGUCUGACCAGGAUAAGCCUUGGUCGGAGUUCGCUUUCUCUGUGCCAAAGGAGUCCCGACAGUUAUUCCUGGCAGCGGUGCGAGGAGUCGUUGGCGAUGGGAGGAAUACAUUAUUCUGGGAGGGUAGAUGGCUUAGUGGUUACCGGAUGCAGGAGCUUGCGCCACGGAUUUGCGAGCAGAUUCCAGUAAGAACGAGGAGGUCAAGAACGGUGUAUGAGGCAAUCGUUGAGGAGAGAUAGGCCCGAGAUAUUGGGCCAGCGCUAGGCGAGGCAACCCUUGCGAAGUACCUGGGUAUCUGGCCCGGGGUUGCGGUGGUCUAGCUGGACGAGCAAUGUGAUGAUCGUUUCAUCUGGUUCUGUGAGAAGAACAAGAAGUUUUCGGCCAAAUCUGCCUAUGCAGCCAAGUUUGCAGGGCGAGAAGUCUCGCCCAUCUUGGAAUUCACAUGGCACUCACGGACCUCGCUUAGGUACAUAUUAAUUCUUCUCAUGGCUAGCAAUCAUGAACUGGUGCUGGACUUCAGAUAGAUUGGCACGAAGAGGCAGCCACACCAACACUCGUGCCCUUUUUGCAAUCAGCAUGAUGAGACGAUUGGCCAUCUACUUAUCGAGUGUCCUCUCCCACGGGAGGUAUGGGCAAAGUUCUUCUCCGCCCAAGGUAUUCUGCAUGGCGAGCCGCAACUAGGAGAGACACUGCACGGCUGAUACACUAGGCAGGGUAUGCAGGGAAAAAGUGCCAAGAUGGUUUGGACCAUAUGCCCCCUUGCCAUGUGGGAAAUAUGGAAGCAUAGAAAUGCCAUAGUCUUUGACGGAGAGAUGGCCUGCCCACGACAUGUUCUACGCUGGACCGCGAGUUAUAGCAUGGUGUGGAUGCAGACGGCUCUACUUCGAGGAAACCUGCAGGCAUUCUUCGUGGCAGCGCUGGAAUGGGCGCAUAGUGAGUAGUGUGUAUAACAUACUUGAGGUGGAGGGCGGCGUAACGCCAUGUAACCCCUGAUGUAACUAAACUGCGGAGGGCUCCCCCCUCUCCUUCCUUCUAUAAUAUAUGAUACGCACACUCGUGCGUAUUCGAUGAAAAAAGAAUCUAACCCAUCUUAGGCUGAUUUUUUUUUCUGCGAAACAAUAUUUUCUUUUGGUUAUGUUAAUAGUCUUAACUGUGUGCAUCAUCACGUUUUGCAGCAGUCAGACAUUUGUUCAAUGUGAUUGUAUCACCUUGAUAUAUCGAUUGAAUGAAAUUGUCUUUUAUUAGUAAAAAAUAGUUGUAUUGAAGUCAUCAUAACUUAAUCCCAUGGGGUAGAUGGUUAAAUGUUUUCACUUAACAAAAUAAUUUCUAGUGUGCCCAUAACUAGUGUAAUAGAUGGACAGAAAUAAAUAGACUGGAAAUGCCAUGAACAAGCCAUGAAUAGAAAAGGUUGGGUUUAUCUACAUCAGUUAUCAGUUUAGUGUGUUCUAUGUACUUGACAAUCCAAGAAUUAGCAAUAGAGCCCUCUGUAUUAAGAGUAUAUUUCAGUCAGUCCUCAACUGCUGUCCAUGUUAUUUACUAGUUCCGGUAGUGAUCUUAAGCAUCGUCUAUAAACUAUUACUUAGUCUAGACGUCCCUAUAGAGACCUAUCGGACAUCAAAGAAAAUCCAUUUUAAAGGAUACGCGGAUAGACUCGGUAAACCGCCGACAAUGAAGUGGCACCAACAAAUAUUUUAGUUUUAUAAAUCUGAAAGGAAUGUAUCUUUUCGAUAAAGGUCUGAAAAAGAAAAUAGGUACCUAUACUCAUCCAUGCAUAGGCAAGAAGUUUUCUUUAUGUGAAGCAUAUCUCUGAAAGGGCUUAUAAUAAUUUUGCUUGUGCACCUCAUACAACUCUACCUAAUAUAUACAUAUUCUCAAAUUUGUAAGAUAUCACUGACUUCUCUCAACCAUUGAAUAGGUCAUCAUUUUUCUUAACUUGCACGCAAUGUCCACGAAUUGAGUAAGCAUAUGCAUAACUAAGAGUCUACGCUGUUUCAUGGAGCCUAUCACAAACGACUGAAUGUUUAGUGGAAAAAUCUCUUGGGUGGAAUCCUAAACCCCUUGAAAAAUAUACUGAAAAAUAUAAUGGCAAUCACCAUGGGGCGUCGGCAGAUCACAGUCAUUAUAAUAACCGCUUGUACACCCAAAUACAACUCUACCUGGUAUAUGCAUAUUCUCAAAUUCGUAAUAUAUCACUGACUUCCCCACCGUCGAAUAGGUCACCAUUUUUCUUAACGUGCACACAAUGUCCAUGAAUUGAGUAAGUGUAUGGGUAACUAAGAGACCGCACUGUUACACAUAGCUUAAUCACAAACGGCUAAAUAUUUAUUGGGAAAAUCUCUUGGGUGGAACCCUAAACCCCUUGAAAAUCUAUUAUAUAAUUAAAACAAAAGACAAACAAGCCAUAUGUGUUCCCAUACAUUGAAUUAUCUUGACCGUAUUUUUAAAUAAUAACACAUGUGAUUUAAAAUAUGUAUUGUUACAUAUAAAUUUUAUCAUGAGCAAACAGUUUAUAGUGUCACGUAGCUCAUACUAAUAGUUCAAUAUGUCUCGAGUUCUUAAAGAAAAACUGGCAUGUCACUAGAAAUCAGUCUGAUACCUUAGGAUCUUUUUUUGCGGGUAAAACUGGGAAGCUUUAUUCAACACACAUCAUCCGGGCAUGAUCUUCGAGGAGACUAGUUAGAAGAAUAAUAGGACUAGAGUUCAACCAGCAAUCCGUUACCUCCAAUGUGCUAGCUUGCUUAGAACAUAAGUGGGCACACGUGCUAGCUGAUUUUGCAACAUUUUGAAUGAAAUACAAACUAAACAGUAAGGCGAGCUCUCCAUCUUAGUUAAGAUAUGCGUCAGCACAGUCCGAGUAUUGAGGCACGAAUACCAGAGAUUGACAAUCUUCAAACAAUCUGUCGCCACAACGACCUUCUCGUGACCCCGAAGCUUUGAAAAGAGGACCCCGUCUCGAACAGCCAAAGCUUCAGCGACAAACGGAUCGCUAAAACCAGGGUACGGUUUAGACCAAGCAGGCAUGAAGGAGGAACAGGCUCGGACAACACCACCCACCCCACCCACCCCUGCUAGCCUCCAUAGCGUGCUUCCAUCUGUAUUGAUCUUCAUGAUUCCUUAGGUUGAUAUAGAAAAUAAGAAGUACCUUACCUUGAAUUGGCAAAGCAUGACAACCAAGAGUAUUCGGCAGCCAAGUCCAAUUUAGAAAGAAAGAGAAAAAACUACCUUAUGUAGGGAGGAGCACCAAGUGAACUACCUUAUGUAGGGAUGAGUCAUGAGCAAACACCCCUACCCCACAACAAAGAAGUGUCCGCAUCUCAAAAAAUUAGGAGUGUCCCAGCAAAAUAUGCGUGCUAAUCUCUCUAGGGAAAAAGAGAAGACGUGUGUGCUCCUCCUUUUUCUGCGGACACAAAAAAAAAAGUACGGAGUCCUGCUUAGUUCACUUAGUGCUCCAGUACUUGGGGAUAAGAAAUCUUUCUCUACGCAGAUUGAAGAAUAUAUCUCAUAAAAAAUGAAAAUUAGUUGUUUAUACAUAUACUAAAUCGUGGAUGAAAAAAUGAGGCGACAUACCUGAUUGGCAUAAUACAUUUUUUUAUGCUAAAUUAGUUCUGCACUAUGAUAUUAGCUGUAUUAAAUCAUGGAUGGACAACUGAGACACGAAAUACGAAAUACAUAAAGAUAAAAGUGCCAGCAUUUUAUAUUCUUUCUCUCAAAAAGUUACUGAUAACCAUAGUGGCUGUUCUAAUUUGAAUCGCUGAGAUCCAAAAAUAAAUAGAAAGAAAUCAUGCUUGCAAGUGAUUCAGUAUAAAUUAAGUAUUCCUCAUGAAAAAAUAAUACGUCAUGAGAAAGACCACGUGAGAGCAUCUGCAGUGAAAUGCAUAAGAAAAAUAAUGCACGUGAAAGCAUCUGUAGUGAACCUAUUUACAAAAAUUGACCACUAACAUAUGCAAAAGUAUCCGGGUUGGACAAUUAAAAAUAACAAAGAACGUUGUACUGACUACAUAAUAAUAAUUAUUCACUAGUGGGGACAGGGUCUAUAGUCCCGGCCCGUAAGGGGCUUUAGUCCCGGUUCACCAACCGGGACCAAAGAGGCGGAACUAAAGGCCUAACCUUUAGUCCCGGCCCUGUUCCAAGCCGGGACCAAAGGUGCUCCAUGUGGGCGCCUCGGAGCGCCCUCACGGGCAGGCCCUUUAGUCCCGGGUCUUAACACGGACCGGGACUAAAGAGUUUCUUCAGAUUUUGUUUGUUUUAGGGUUUUAGGGUUUUAGGGUUUAGGUGUUCGGGAGAUUAACGUGAUGCCUCGUUUGGCAUUCGGGAAUUAGUUUUCAUAUAAUUCUAAAUAUACAUGUUUAUGUAUAUAUAUAAGAUUAACUUAUCUUACAAGCGAGCAUAUAUAUACAAUUAUAUGGAGAUCUGAAUUAUCGGGACUAGAGCCCGUUUAUUUAAUUCCAUGGACCAACAUCAGUAAUGGCCCCUAGCUACACUAAAUCAUCCUUUGUCAUCUAUAGCUUCCGUCCUCAGAAAGGUCGCAAGCUCCUCUACAACAGCAAUCGCGCGUUGCUCUGGUAGGUACUUCUCCCUCAUGGCCGUGUACUAUAUAAGAAGAGGAGAUGAAUAUGAAUAUCAAUAAUGAUAACAAAGAAUGGCGGGUAAAAAUAGAGGUGUGAAUGUUCAUUGCUUACGUCGUAUCUAUAAUCCUUGUGCUCAGAGGUAAACGUGCGAAUGGUCUCGCAAACAUAGUAUCCGCAUAGAUGCGUCCCCCGUGGCUGCUGGUCGCACUUUACGAGAAUAGAAUAUAAAUAAUCAAAAUAAUAAUCUAGCAUCAUAAAUGUAUUGAAAAUAGAAGUAUAUCAUACUACUACUUACCUGAGGCGCUCUAAAGGUCAGCUUCUCAUGCUCGAUACCGGGAGUCACACACUUGAACCGCUUCCAAACCCUGUCCGACAAGGAAAAUGAUUUGCUAAGUUUUUCAUUAAUUGAUAUAUCAUAAAAUCAUCGAAAGAGACCGAUAGAGCGCAAGAAUGAUUGAAAUUACCCUUGGAGCAUUUCCUGCAGGCUUUGGAACUGUUCGAAGGGUCUCGAUAAUGGGUCGAAGGCAUCAACUCUUCCCUUAUCAAUUUGAAUGUCCAACAGAAUCCAAUGGUAGCUACACAUGUAUAUAUAUAUACAUGUGUAGCUACCAUUGGAUUCUGUUGGACAUUCAAAUUGAUAAGGGAAGAGUUGAUGCCUUCGACCCAUUAUCGAGACCCUUCGAACAGUUCCAAAGCCUGCAGGAAAUGCUCCAAGGGUAAUUUCAAUCAUUCUUGCGCUCUAUCGGUCUCUUUCGAUGAUUUUAUGAUAUAUCAAUUAAUGAAAAACUUAGCAAAUCAUUUUCCUUGUCGGACAGGGUUUGGAAGCGGUUCAAGUGUGUGACUCCCGGUAUCGAGCAUGAGAAGCUGANNNNNNNNNNNNNNNNNNNNNNNNNNNNNNNNNNNNNNNNNNNNNNNNNNNNNNNNNNNNNNNNNNNNNNNNNNNNNNNNNNNNNNNNNNNNNNNNNNNNNNNNNNNNNNNNNNNNNNNNNNNNNNNNNNNNNNNNNNNNNNNNNNNNNNNNNNNNNNNNNNNNNNNNNNNNNNNNNNNNNNNNNNNNNNNNNNNNNNNNNNNNNNNNNNNNNNNNNNNNNNNNNNNNNNNNNNNNNNNNNNNNNNNNNNNNNNNNNNNNNNNNNNNNNNNNNNNNNNNNNNNNNNNNNNNNNNNNNNNNNNNNNNNNNNNNNNNNNNNNNNNNNNNNNNNNNNNNNNNNNNNNNNNNNNNNNNNNNNNNNNNNNNNNNNNNNNNNNNNNNNNNNNNNNNNNNNNNNNNNNNNNNNNNNNNNNNNNNNNNNNNNNNNNNNNNNNNNNNNNNNNNNNNNNNNNNNNNNNNNNNNNNNNNNNNNNNNNNNNNNNNNNNNNNNNNNNNNNNNNNNNNNNNNNNNNNNNNNNNNNNNNNNNNNNNNNNNNNNNNNNNNNNNNNNNNNNNNNNNNNNNNNNNNNNNNNNNNNNNNNNNNNNNNNNNNNNNNNNNNNNNNNNNNNNNNNNNNNNNNNNNNNNNNNNNNNNNNNNNNNNNNNNNNNNNNNNNNNNNNNNNNNNNNNNNNNNNNNNNNNNNNNNNNNNNNNNNNNNNNNNNNNNNNNNNNNNNNNNNNNNNNNNNNNNNNNNNNNNNNNNNNNNNNNNNNNNNNNNNNNNNNNNNNNNNNNNNNNNNNNNNNNNNNNNNNNNNNNNNNNNNNNNNNNNNNNNNNNNNNNNNNNNNNNNNNNNNNNNNNNNNNNNNNNNNNNNNNNNNNNNNNNNNNNNNNNNNNNNNNNNNNNNNNNNNNNNNNNNNNNNNNNNNNNNNNNNNNNNNNNNNNNNNNNNNNNNNNNNNNNNNNNNNNNNNNNNNNNNNNNNNNNNNNNNNNNNNNNNNNNNNNNNNNNNNNNNNNNNNNNNNNNNNNNNNNNNNNNNNNNNNNNNNNNNNNNNNNNNNNNNNNNNNNNNNNNNNNNNNNNNNNNNNNNNNNNNNNNNNNNNNNNNNNNNNNNNNNNNNNNNNNNNNNNNNNNNNNNNNNNNNNNNNNNNNNNNNNNNNNNNNNNNNNNNNNNNNNNNNNNNNNNNNNNNNNNNNNNNNNNNNNNNNNNNNNNNNNNNNNNNNNNNNNNNNNNNNNNNNNNNNNNNNNNNNNNNNNNNNNNNNNNNNNNNNNNNNNNNNNNNNNNNNNNNNNNNNNNNNNNNNNNNNNNNNNNNNNNNNNNNNNNNNNNNNNNNNNNNNNNNNNNNNNNNNNNNNNNNNNNNNNNNNNNNNNNNNNNNNNNNNNNNNNNNNNNNNNNNNNNNNNNNNNNNNNNNNNNNNNNNNNNNNNNNNNNNNNNNNNNNNNNNNNNNNNNNNNNNNNNNNNNNNNNNNNNNNNNNNNNNNNNNNNNNNNNNNNNNNNNNNNNNNNNNNNNNNNNNNNNNNNNNNNNNNNNNNNNNNNNNNNNNNNNNNNNNNNNNNNNNNNNNNNNNNNNNNNNNNNNNNNNNNNNNNNNNNNNNNNNNNNNNNNNNNNNNNNNNNNNNNNNNNNNNNNNNNNNNNNNNNNNNNNNNNNNNNNNNNNNNNNNNNNNNNNNNNNNNNNNNNNNNNNNNNNNNNNNNNNNNNNNNCUCAUGCUCGAUACCGGGAGUCACACACUUGAACCGCUUCCAAACCCUGUCCGACAAGGAAAAUGAUUUGCUAAGUUUUUCAUUAAUUGAUAUAUCAUAAAAUCAUCGAAAGAGACCGAUAGAGCGCAAGAAUGAUUGAAAUUACCCUUGGAGCAUUUCCUGCAGGCUUUGGAACUGUUCGAAGGGUCUCGAUAAUGGGUCGAAGGCAUCAACUCUUCCCUUAUCAAUUUGAAUGUCCAACAGAAUCCAAUGGUAGCUACACAUGUAUAUAUAUAUAUAUAUGUGUGUGUGUCAAUAACUUAUCAAUUACACUUAUAAGUGAAUGGACACAACAGAGUAAAGACCCUCACUUGAAGUUGUAUGGAAACAGUAUGUGGUCACAGAAAUUUUGACCUGUUAGAAACCUUAGAAGGUUUUCCUCCGUCUCCUUGGGUUUAUCAGUUAGCGUCGCUAUAUUUAUUUUAUCUAGGUCAAUAAACCCAAUAUUUAGGAUGUUCCUACUUUUACAUUCCAGAAUCUUCAUUCUGCAUAAUAGAGUACAAGUUAUAUGUAGACAAUAAAUUAAAAUAACUAAACAAGUUAUAUGUAGACAACGAAUUGAAAAACUUACACACAAUAGCAACUCAUAAGCGAUUUGUCGAGGGCGUCGGCAUUGUACAUCUCGAAGAGUUCAUCAAAGUCGAUAUGGAUUUCUUCGGGGCGGCCGUAGCACUCCCGUGGGACACGCGCCACGAUCAUCGUUCUCCCAUUCUUUGAUUCACUUAAGUACCAUGUAUGCAAGUAACGCAUAUUUGUUGGGAGAUCAUCAAACUUAUCUUUGCUAACCAAAGGCGCUCCCAUGACAAACUGUGGCAUAGGGGCCACCAUAGCCUUGGGUAACCUGUCGUCUUGGGAAGCCAGAACGUCUUCAACCGGGAUACCCCAUUCAUCCGCCCACUUCUUUGCUAAUUCCAAAUCUUUCCCCUGCACCAGAGAGGGAACAUUCUCGGGUAACACCCUCAGGGGUAGGAUCGACUAUUUGGCCUGUUGUCCAAGCUGAGGAACGUCUGAUCUUUUUUUGCUUGUAGUUGAACUUGAUUUGCUCCCACUUGCACUUGCACGUGAUCUGCUCUUUUUCCCUUCCUUCUGCAAUGUGCGUGUAUAGUCAUCAGGCUUAUGGUGUAAGUCAUACUGUGAUGGAAGGGUCGUGAAGUAUUUUGCAUAUGUUAUUUGCUUCUCGGUGUAUUCCGGGCGGGGCUCGGGUUCCUUCUUUUUCAUCUGCGCAUCAUAAUGUACCUUUGCUAUCCUGGCAUUUUCCUCGUCGGUAUGAUCAUAAGGUCUGAUAGGAAGAUUAGCAUGAGGUACCUUUGGGAGGGGCGACAGUUUGGGCUUUGGGGAGCUCCAUCGCUUAGAACUCAUCGACGGAGCGUUCUUGCUGGCACGCUUCCGCUUAGUAUCCUUAGCGGGCGGCGGCGGAGACGGACGACCCAAGUCCGGCGGCGGUGAUCGAGAUGGACUCGUGUUGUGCUGGCCAUCGUCAUGUGGAGGGCUUGGAGGUGAUGGAGGUGUAGGUGACCUGCGACGACUCGGAGGCGGUGUUGUCCUUGGGGCCGAGCCUGGAAGCUUGAUGUAGUUCUUGUCCCAUAGGAUGACCCCACCCAGUACUUCUCCGAGUGUCCUCUCAUCUUCGGGUCCAGCUAUGUCGAGCUCCAUAUCAUGAAACCCCGCCAUGAUUUCAUCCAUCCCGACUUUAGCAAAGCCAGCUGGAAUCUCACGGCCAUGCCAGCGUGCAUCAGGGCCAGAAGGUAAAGCUUGUCCGAUGGCCACCUUCAUGGAUAUGUUCUUGAAUUUCUGAUGGAGUUCACAUGAUGUUGACUCCUUGAUUCCAUCCACGGGGUAGCCGGGACCGCCCUCUAUCAUUCUUCGUGCAUCGUUGGGCGGGGCCUCAGAUUCAGCCACGCUGCUUUUCCACUUAGAUGGGGCGCCGGUAAUAUCGAGCGCAGGAUCUUCCUGGCGCGCUACUCCUCUAAGCUCAUCAAUCUGCUUCUAUUGCUUGUUAAGCCUGGCAAGCAACUGGUUAAACUUGUCAUUCUCCUCAUCCUGCUGUCGCUUCUUUGCUCUCGCUCGGCUUCUGUAAGUGUCUUGGUCUCUGGGAAACCCAAGCCACCACGGGUAAGAAGGACCGAAGCCUCGCGUUCGUCCUCCAUGUUCGUCAUUGUCGAGGACCACUGUGAGAAAAUCUUUCUCUCUAUCUGCAGUGAACUGUCUUUUUCCCUCCUUAAUUUUUUCACUAUCUUUUUCCAAUUCUCCCUGGGUAUCCUAAGACCGUCACUGCAGAUGAGGUCCCCUGUUUCUUCGUCGUAUGAACCACCAUGCGCAAGGAACCAAUUUCUUGCUCUCAAUUCCCACUCAUCACGGAUGGGUUCAGGUAUGAUGCCUUUAGCUAGCAGAUCUUUCUCUUUCUUAUCCCACUUUCGGAUGGCAGACUCAUAGCCCCCUGGCCCCAGCGUGUGGUGAUAUUUCUUCUUGUCGGCAUUUUUCUUGUUCUUUUUUGAUAAUGCCUUGGCAUCUUCUGACUCCUUGUACUCUUGAAAUGCCUUCCAGUGAUUCGCCUGCUUGGCUAGAUACCCCUCGAAUACUGGCACUUUCUUUGUCUUCCGAUAGUUUUUCAUAGCUUCUUCUUCCAGCUACAGAACAGUUCGACCAUCUUCUUUAGAGUCCACUGCUUGACUUUGGCCAUCAGUUUGUCUGCGGCGUCUUCAUUCUCACAUUCUGACAGGUUGAAAUGUGACAUGAGAUCAUUCCAAAGAUUAUCUUUGUACCUUUCGGUGACAUAGUCACUAUCGGCUGCCCCUUUGCGCUUGUUGCACUCCCGAACGCUGAUCGGGACGUGAUCCCUAACGAGAACUCCGCAUUGCUUCUUGAAUGUGUCAGCAGCAUUCUUAGGAAGCUUGGGUUCGCCCGUAGGCAAUAUCACCUCAAAGGUGUAAUGCAUCCGUGCAUCCAACUUUUUAGUCGGGCCUCGUUUCGUAGCUUUGCUCGAUGUGGAGGCUUAAGAGGGAGAAACAUUCGUCAAAUGAAUGUAUAUGUAUACAAUAUAGAGCUAUCUCCAAUAUUUUUCACAUAUUACAAGUGAUUGUCGAAGUUCAUAUGUAUACCUCGCCGGACUUUAUUAGUUCUCCACCGGCUUCUCCAUCAGUGGAGCUAUCACCUUCUCCAUCAUUGGAGCUAUCUCCUGCCCCAUCGGCUUCAUCUUCGUGUCCGUCGACUUCCAUUCCAUAUCCGGAGGGGUUUAGAUAUGACGACGGAGAUUCAGCUGGUUCAACGUCGGGGCCGUCUUUGAUUAUAUCUUCGAGAAGUUCUUCCUCUUCGAGGUUCCUAAUAUGUGGAUCCAUAGUUCUGCAAAAAACGAACAUUUGGUUAACUAAUAAACUAACAAACUAUAUAUGAUGCAAAAUAAUUCUAUUUCUAUUUGCAAAUAAAUUCUAACUAAAUAAUUCUAAGUAAAAUAAUUCUAUCUCUAUUUGCAAAUAAAUUCUAACUAAAUAAUUCUAACUAAAAUAAUUCUAUUUCUAUUUGCAAAUAAAUUCUAACUAAAUAAUUCAUGACUUCAUCAUUACCUAGUAGUAAUAGGAGCAUGAUGCUAUGAAGCUUUAUAAAGUUGUUUUGUAACGGAAUCCCGAAUAGGAUAAUUAGCUUUGUGGUACGCAGUUCAAAAAGAGCCAUCCGAAUAUCGCUAUUUGGAAGGACUUUGUUGAACUUUGUACCAAAAAAGAAUUAUUCUAUUAGGAACUCCGUUCCAAAACAACUUUCGAGAGGUUGAUAGCGCCAUGCGUCUGUUACUACCAGGUAAUGAUGAAGCCAUGGACCGACCCUAAACUAACUUACUUAAAUUUACAUAGCCCUAAACUAGCUAACACUAACCUAAUUAACACUAGUUUAUAUGUUUAAUUGAUGUUUGUAGUGAUUUAAGUGAUAUUUGUAGAUUGUAGAUUUGUAUAUGCUUAAACACUAACUGUGACCUAAACUAAAAGGCCCUAAACUAACUUACUAAAAUUUACAUAACCCUAAACUAACAAUAACCUAUUAAUUAACACUAACUACCUAACCCUAAUAACACAAAUUUAAAUGACACAAAAAUAACACAAAUAACCUAUUUAACACUAACCUACCUAACCCUAAAUUCACCAAAUAUUCUACAAAUAACACUUAAGCAUAUACAAUAGCAAAAUUAAGCAAUAAUCUAAAAAACACUAAUUAAGCAUCUAUAUAUGUACAAAAUUACAUAAGCAUGCAUGCAUGUUGACGAUCGAUCAAGAGAGGAGAGGAGAGAGGCUCACCAGCGGCAGGGGGUGUUGGAUCGAGGAGGAAGGGAGGGCGACGACGACGGCGAGGAGGACGGCAAGGCGACGACGAUGGCGAGGAGGACGGCAGGGCGCGACGACGAGGAGGACGGCAGGGCGACGGCGACGGCGACAACAAGGAGGACGGCAGGGCNNNNNNNNNNNNNNNNNNNNNNNNNNNNNNNNNNNNNNNNNNNNNNNNNNNNNNNNNNNNNNNNNNNNNNNNNNNNNNNNNNNNNGGUGUCGAGCAGUUCGUCCGAUGCUGCAGGCGAGCGAGAGGAGGAAGAAAGAUUGAAAUGGCGAUUUGGGUUGGAAAUUUCCAACUCCCGCUUAUAUAGGUGGAGCUUUAGUCCCGGGUCGGGGCUCGAACCGGGACUAAAGACACCCUUUUUGGCAGGCGAGGAGGCGGGAAACGAGGGGCUUUAGUCCCGGGUCGGGGCUCGAACCGGGACUAAAGGCUGUGUUUAGUCCCAGGUCUAGCCACGACCCGGGGCUAAAGACCCCUUUUCGGCAGGCGAGGAGGCGGGAAACGAGGGGCUUUAGUCCCGGGUCGUGGCUCCACCAGGGACUUAAGGUGGUCUUUAGUCCCGGUUCGAGCCCCGAACCGGGACUAAAGACCUGGGCUGGCUUCGGGGUGACGCAGGGCAACCUUUAGUCCCACCUCACCUAGCGAGGGGCGCUGGCAGUGCUUUAUAAGCACUCUCGCACUUUGCUCAAUUGAGCUUCUCUCUAUUGAAGGCAUGUGGGCCUAACUCUCAUCUCGCUGUCUGUUGGUCCUAUUGGCCCCCGGACCUUCAUCCUGGCCCACCUGUCGGGUAGGGUUUCUAGUCGUAUGCAGGUCGUGAUGACCCAAUAGGCGGCAUUUGUUUUUUUACUUUAAUAAUUUUUAGUCCUAGUUUAUAUUUUAAUUCUUUGCUAUUCAAUAUUUUUUUCUCUUCUAUUUUAGUUUUCUAUUGAGUUGAUUUGUUUUUGUUUCUUUUAGUUAAUGUUUUACUUGAUUCUUUCUAACAAAUAAGCACUUUGAAAAUUUUAGUAAAUUAUUCUUAAUUCAUUCAUUUUAGUUAAUGUUUUAGUUGAUUCUUUUUAGUUGACUCUUUUUUUGUUUUCUAUUAAAUAUUUUAACAAAAAAACUUUAUGAAAUUUCUGACUUCAUUUGAUAUUUUUUGUGCAUUUACUUAUUCUUUUGAGCUAGUUGACCCUGAAAUGGAAAAACACUACAAAUGAACUCUAAAAAUGUUGAAAGUUGGCAUGGUAUCAUCAUUUCACCCACAUAGCAUGUGCUAAAAGGUUGAGAGGGUUACGGCAAAAAUUGGAUACACUUCGUGUGCAAAACGGACAAUAUCUCUCGAAGUAUCAUGGUUUCGAACAAGAACUCAUCUAUUACAAAGUGAUUUCAUUUUUUUGAACUUAUUUGAACUCCAUACUUUUUGUGUGUUCAAAAUGCACCAUUCAAACGCACAUCACAAACUUUCAACAAUUUCUGACUUCAUUUGGUAUUUUUCGUGCAUUUACUUUUUUUUAGCUAGUUGACCCUGAAAUUGAAAAACACUACAAAUGAACUCUGUGUUGAAAGUUGGCAUGGUAUCAUCAUUUCAUGCACAUUCCAUGUGCUAAGAAGUUGAGAGGGUUACGACAAAAACUGGAUACACUUCGUGUACAAAACGGACAAUCUCUCUUGAUGUAUCAGCAUCUCGAACGUGAACUCAUCUGUUACAAAGGGAUUUCAUUUUUUUGAACUUACUUGAACUCCAUACUUUUUGUGUGUUCAAAAUGCACCAUUCAAAGGCACAUCACAAAAUUUCAACAAUUUCUAACUUCAUUUGGUAUUUUUCAUGCAUUUACUUAUUUUUUUGAGCUAGUUGACCAUAAAAUUGAAAAGCACUACAAAUGAACUCUAAAAAUGUGGAAAGUUGGAAUGGUAUCAUAAUUUCACCCACAUAGCAUGUGCUAAAAAGUGGAGAGGGUUACGAUAAAAACUGGAUGCACUUCGUGUACAAAACAGACAAUCUCUCUCGAAGUAUGAGGGUUUCGAACGAGAACUCAUCUAUUACAAAGGGAUUUCAUUUUUUGAACUUAUUUGAACUCCAUACUUAUUGUGUGUUUAAAAUGCACCAUUCAAAGGCACAUCAAAAAAUUUCAACAAUUUCUGACUUAAUUUGGUAUUUUUCGUGCACUUACUUUUGUUUUUUUGGGCUAGUUGACCCUAAAAUUGAAAAGCACUACAAAUGAACUCUGAAAAUGUUGAAAAUUGGCAUGCUGUCAUCAUUUCACCCACAUAGCAUGUGUUAAAAAGUUGAGAGGGCUACGACAAAAACUGGAUGCAUUUCGUGUACAAAACGGACAAUCUCUCUUGAAGUAUCAGGGUUUCGAACGAGAACUCAUCUCUUACAAAGGGAUUUCAUUUUUUUGAACUUAUUUAAACUCCAUACUUUUUGUGUGUUCAAAAUGCACCACUCAAAGGCACAUCACAAAUUUUCAAUAAUUUCUUACUUCAUUUGGUAUUUUUCGUGCAUUUACUUAUUUUUGUUGAGCUAGUUGACCCUGAAAUUCAAAAGCACUACGAAUGAACUCUCAAAAUGUUGAAACCUGGCAUGGAAUCAUCAUACUGCUCAGGCGGGGACCUUCAUACUACUCAGGCAUUCAAAAAAGAUUUCCUUCUCUGCUUUGGUAAGAGCAUAGCUGCUUAAGUAUUGACGCACUUUAUCAGUCUUCUUGUCGUAUGGGUCUUUCAUACGUUGGUGCUCCUCCCGUGCUUCUGUUGUAUCUUUUGUCUUUCUAUACACUCCCAGGAAGCCUAGCAGGUUCACGCAAAGAUUCUUCUUCACGUGCAUCACGUCGAUUGAAGACCGGACCUCUAGUUGUUUCCAAUAGGGUAGCUCCCAAAAUAAAGAUUUCUUUUUCCACAUGGGCACGUGUCCGGUAAUGUCGUCUUUCGGAACUGAUUGACCGCGAGGACCCUUUCCAAAGAUUACUAUUUGAUCCAAAUCCUUGACCAUAGCCAAUAACUCAUCACAAGUAGGGAGGUUAGGCUUCUUCCGGUGAUCUGCCUCACCGUUGAAAUGCUUGCCUUUCUUUCUUACGGUAUGACUGGUCGGAAGAAAUUGACGACACACCAGGUAGACAACCUUCUUAGAUUUUCCCAAAUAUGUACCUUUACUCUUAUCUAAACAGUGCGUGCAUGCAUUGUAUCCCUUGUUUGAUUGUCCUAAAAUGUUACUAAGAGCAGGCCAAUCAUUGAUGGUUACGAACAACAAUGCUCAUAGGUCAAAUUCCUGUUCUUUGUGCUCAUCCCACACACGUACACCUGGUGGGCCCACAACUGCAAAAGUUCAUCAACUAAUGGCCUUAGGUACACAUCAAUGUCGUCGCAGGGUUGCUUCGGUCCUUUAGUCCCGGUCUGUGGUACGUGCCGGGACUAAAGGCCUAUUUUCUGUUUUCUUAUUUUAUUUGUUUUUGCAUAUUUGAGAAUAUAAAUAGUAAUCUGUUUGCAUAUUUGAGAAUUUGACAAAACUAUGAAAAUGAAAAGUGUUUGAAAUUGAAUAAAUAAUUCAAAACUAUUUUCUAUUUUCAAAAUUAAUUAUUUUGACUAUCCAAACUAUUAACUAUUUUGUAAUUUUCAAUUAAAUACUAUGUUUAUUAAAAUUCUUUUUGCAUAUUUGAGAAUUUGACAAAACUAUGAUAAUAAAAAGUGUUUGAAAUUGAAUAAAUAAUUCAAAACUAAAAGGUUUAGUACAUUCCAUACAUGCAUUACAUAAAAGGUUUAAUACAUUAUUACAUUAUUGCACCAAUAUUCCUACAUAUUAUUUCUGUUUUCUUCUCGGUUAACCAUGGAGAAUCUUCAUCAUUCAGUGGGAUGCUUGGGUCAGUUUUCACUUUGAAGGGCGGAAUUUCAUGAAACUUAUUAUAAUCUACUGACAUGUCUGUCUUGUCAUCUACUCCCACGAUGUUUCUUUUCCCUCAAAGAACUAUGUCGCAUUUUGGCUCAUCGGACGAUAUCUUCUUUUGCUGAUUUCUUUUUAUCGUUUUUGUAGACAUGUCCUUCACAUAGAAAACCUGAGCGACAUCAUUGGCUAGGACAAAUGGUUCGUCCAUGUACGCAAGAUUGUUGAGAUCCACUGUUGUCAUGCCGUACUUUUGGUCUACAACUACCCCGCCUCCUGUCAGCUUCACGCAUUUGCACCGAAACAAAGGGAUCUUAAAAGUAGGUCCAUAGUCAAGUUUCCAUAUCUCCUCUAUGUACCCGUAAUAUGUUUCCAAACAGUGCCAAUUCUCGUCUGUUGCAUCAAAGCGGACACACUAUUUUGGUUGGUGCUCUUUUUAUCUUGGGCAACCGUGUAAAAUGUAUUCCCAUUUAUCUCAUACCCUUGGAAAGUACAUAUAGUCGAAGAUGGUGACCUGGCCAAACAGUACAGUUGAUCUCCAACGGUGUCGUCAUUUAUGAGAUGUAUCUGCAACCAACUUCCGAAAGUCUUCUCGUGUUCCCCUUUAAUCCAAGAGUCAGCCUUCCCCGGGUUUUUAGAGCGUAGAAUAUUCUUGUGUCUCACGAUAUACGGAGCCACCACGGUGGAAUUGUGUAGAACUGUGUAGUGUUCUUGAGAGAAAGAAUGCCCGUCCAUACAUACUUUUGCUUUCCUUCCUAGUGUGCCUUUUCCUGUCAGCCUACCCUCAUACCGAGAUUCAGGAACACCAAUCGGCUUAAGGUCAGGAAGAAAGUCCACACAAAACUCAAUGACCUCCUCUGUUCCAUAGCCCUUGGAGAUGCUUCCUUCUGGCCUAGCACGGUUACGAACAUAUUUCUUUAAGACUCCCAUGAACCUCUCGAAGGGGAACAUAUUGUGUAGAAACACAGGACCGAGAAUUCUAAUCUCUUCGACUAGGUGAACUAGGAGGUGUGUCAUCAUAUUGAAGAAGGAUGGCGGGAACAACAACUCAAAGCUGACCAGACAUUGGACCACAUCAAUCUGUAACCCUGAUAGACUUUCUCGAUCGAUUACCUUAUGAGAAAUUGCAUUGAGGAAUGCACAUACCUUCACAAUUGCCAGGCGAACAUUUUCCGGUAGAAUUCCCCUCAAUGCAAUCGGAAGAAAUUGCGUCAUAAGCACGUGGCAGUCAUGAGACUUUAGGUUUUGAAAGUUUUUGUCUUUCAUAUUUACGAUUCCCUUUAUAUUCGACGAGAAGCCAGUCGGGACCUUGAUGCUGAAAAGGACUUCAAAGAAGAUUUCCUUCUCUUCCUUAGUAAGAGCGUAGCUGGCACGCCCUUGAAACUGCCCUGGAUGCAUGCCAUCUCUUCCUUUAUGACGUUCCUGGUCCUCCCGUGCUUCCGGUGUAUCGUCUUUUGACUUCCCAUACAAGCCCAGGAAGCCUAGAAUAUUCACACAGAGAUUCUACGUCAGGUGCAUCACGUCGAUUGCCGAGCGGACCUCAUGGACUUUCCAGUAGGGUAGCUCCCAAAAUAUAGAUUUCUUCUUCCACGUGGGUACGCGCUUAUCAGGGCCGUUAGGAACAGGUUGGCUGCCAGGACCCUUUCCAAAGAUUACUUUUAAAUCUUUGACCAUAUCAAAUACUUCAGCACUAGUACGGAUGACAGGCUUCCCCCGGGGUUCUGCCUUGCCAUUGAAAUGCUUGCCUUUUUUCUUUAAGGGAUGCUUGGGCGGAAGAAAACGACGAUUUUACGGGUACACAUUCUUCCUACAUUUGUCCAGAUAUAUACUUUCUGUCUGAUCCAAACAGUGCGUGCAUGCAUUGUAUCCCUUGUUUGAGUGUCCUGAAAUGUUACUAAGAGCAGGCCAAUCAUUGAUGGUUACGAAAAGCAACGCUCGAAGGUCAAAUUCCUCUUGUUUGUGCUCGUCCCACACACGUACACCUGGUUCGGCCCACAGCUGUAAAAGUUCAUCAACUAAUGGCCUUAGGUACACAUCAAUAUCGUUGUCGGGUUGCUUUGGACCUUGGAUAAGCACUGGCAUCAUAAUGAACUUCCGCUUCAUGCACAACCAAGGAGGAAGGUUGUAGAUACAUAGAGUAACGGGCCAGGUGCUGUGACUGCAACUCUGCUCCCCAAAAGGAUUCAUGGCAUCUGUACUCACACCAAACCAUAAGUUCCUUUCGUCACCUGCAAAUCUCAGGAACUCUCUCUCGAUUUUUCUCCACUGCCGACCAUCAGCGGGAUACCUCAACUUAUCGUCUUUCAUACGAUCUUCCAUGUGCCAUCGCAACAACUUCGCAUGAUCUUUAUUUCUGAACAGACGUUUCAACCGUGGUAUUAUAGGAGCAUACCACAUCACCUUGGCAGGAACCCUCUUCCUGGGUGGCUCACCCUCAAUAUCACCAGGGUCAUCUUUUCUGAUCUUAUACCGCAAUGCAGUGCAUACCGGGCAUUUAUCCAUAUUCUCGUACUUCUCACCGCGGUAGAGGAUGCAGUCAUUAGGGCAUGCAUGUAUCUUCUGCACGUCUAAUCCUAGAGGGCAGACAAGCUUCUUUGCUUCGUACGUGCUGGCGGGCAAUUCGUUCUUUCUUGGAAGCAUCUUCUUCAUCAGUACCAGCAAAUUUUCGAAUCACGAGAGUCAGUCACACCGGUCUCUGCCUUCCACUUCAGCAAUUCCAGUGUGCUACCCAGCUUCUUCUGGCCAUCUUCACAAGUUGGGUAAAACAAUUUGUUGUGGUCCUGUAACAUCUGCUCGAACUGCAACCUCUCCUUUUCUGUGUCGCAACCUCGCCGUGCAUCAGAAAUGACCCGGCCAAGAUCAUCAGCGGGCUCAUCUGGUUCCCGUCUUCAUCCUGAUCUUCUUCUUCAUUGUCUUCCAUUGCGGUAUCAGCAUACUCAGGGAACAUAGAUCGGUAGUUGUCAUCAUCGUUCUCUUCUUCUUCAUCAUCGUCUUCCAUCAUAACGCCUCUUUCUCCGUGAUUGGUCCAAACAUUAUAGCCCGACAUAAAACCGGACCGAAGCAGGUGGCUCUGAAUGACUCUUGAGGAAGUGUAAUCCUUCUCAUUCCGACAUUCAACACAUGGACAAAACAUAUAGCCACCACCAUGCUUGUUCGCAUCGGCUGCAUCUCGAAAAGAAUGCAUGCCUUCUCUGUAAGCGGUUGUGCGUCGAUCACCGUACAUCCAUGGAUGGCUCAUCUGCGUUAUACGACAGUAUAUCAAAUACAAUCACGAUCCUAAAAAUUAGUACCGCACGGUCUAAACGAGGAAAUAUAGUUGCUAACCUUUUAGAAUAAGUAGAAAUAAAGAGGAAGAGGUUUAAGCGUGGCUCGGGCAUCUCAUAUCGUAGUUGUGUUCGGUGAACUGAAGCGGCAUCGCUCUAACACACAUUUCAACAAACACCUCUAGUGCAUCCAAGAAAAAUGGAGAGCUAGCACACACCCACACUCUUCCAUCCAAGAAAAAUGCAAGAAAGAGGGGAGAGGGGGGUUGUGGCCAAUAUAUAUAGGCAGAGGACUUUAGUCCCGGUUUGAGACACAAACCGGGACUAAAGGUGACGCACAUGCGGGCUGCACACCGCGUAGCCCUUUAGUCUCGGUUUAUGUCUCGAACCGGGACUAAAGGCUCCUUACGGGCCGGGACCAAAGCCUUGUGGGCGGCAUUGCGAUUUUGGGGCGACGUGGCCGGGCCUUUAGUCCCGGCCCAGAUGGAGGCCGGGACUAAAGGGUCCAGGCCAAAGGCCCGUUUUCCACUAGUGAUUAUUCACAUAUGACAUUGUACUAUUUUUUUUAUUUGUUAUAAUGGAAAUCUUAGCUGAAAUUUUGAAUUAGAAAAUGCAAAGAAUCAAGUGUACCAUAUAUCUUCGAAAAUAUGUAACACUGUGUACAAAUAAGAAGGACACGUGCAACCAUCAUGAAAUAGUCGACCAACCCUUUGACAACCUUUGAAUAAACGAAUCAUGUAUGCUCGAUGAGUUCAAUUUGCAGCUGCAAUUGUGUGGAAGGGGACUAAUGGAAUGACAAUUGAAAAUUUGAGUAAAAUUAUAUUACUAUAUAGAAAUGAGGGAGGCCAGAGAGUGAAAAAUACAACCAUCAGGUAUAAGUUGCACAACUCUAGAGUAGUGUGACUAAAUGAAUCAUGUAUGCCCGAUGAGUUUGAUUUGUAUAGUAGUAAUUGUAUCGAAGUAGACCAAUGGAAUGACAAGCAAAAAAAAAAAUUGAAUCUGGUUUCAUUUCUGGGAAGAAAUGAGGAUGGCGAGAGAAAAAAUAGUGAGUAAAAAUAUCAAAUUAACUACGGAAAUAUGUUAGAGACAUCUGUGUAUAUUCACAUGUGUACAUGCAAAAUGCGGGAAAAAAAUACGAACUCAGUUGCCAAAAUUUGGUUUAUAUUCGAUGCAUCGUACCGUAUAAAAAAAUCAUUUGAUAUCUUAGAUGUAUUGACACGUAUGGAUUCAUUUGUAUAAAAGAAGAGUUGUGUGAGUAUAAAAGAAUCGAACUAAGGUACUCAUGAAUUGGCGAUCAUGAGCAUAGUUUUGGGACACCCAUAAAUGACAAUGAAACGAUAGAUAAUGAAGACUUUAAUAGAUUACACAUGUACUAAGAUUAGGUGCAAAAACAGGAGAAUAGUAGAAUCAAUCUGGAUGUGGUGUGCAACUCACAUAACAUAUUAAAUAUUAUAUUUGGUGGGAGUAAAGAUCUGACACAAAUGAAAAUCAUUUCAGGGGUGCAAUAAGUUGUCUCAGUUAUGCUUAAAGAUAUAAGUAUCAGAAAAACAUUUGUGCGUAUUUGUAUUGUAAACUAUAUAGGGGCAAGUGAAAUGAGAUAUUCUAGAAAAUUUCAGCGAAUGUUUCCAAGGGGGGGGGGGGGGGGGGAGCCAUGAGUAUGUGAAUCAUAAUUGCGUGAUUGUACAUCUAGUCCCCACCGUAGGGACUUAGGAUGUGUCUCAUUGAUAACUAAAUUUUCACAAGCAAGCAAGCAAAAUAGUAAUGUAACAUAUAUUGAGAAUCACAUAAAGAAAGCAAUAAUGAGACGUAAUUGGAGAUAAUGUUUUAAGGUUGUAAACACCACAUAUCCCGAGAAUGUAGUAUGAAUUAUUUGUAUCAUGCAUAAAAAGGUGAUAAGUAAUUUAUUUCAGGCAGACUGAAUUUGGAGUUCUCAAUUGUAUUUCUAAUUUAGAAUAUCCUCAUGAUUCAGUAUACUACAAUUAUGCAUUAUUUUAUACUCCCUCCGUUUCUAAAUAUAAGUCUUUUAAGAUAUUUCACUAGAAGUCUACAUACGGAGCAAAAUGAGUUAAUCUACAUUGUAAAGUAUGUCUAUAUGCAUCCGUAUGUAGUUCACUAAAGAAACCUCUUUAAAGUCUUAUAUUUAGGAACGGAGGGAGUACAAAUUUAUCGAUAAUGCUGAAUAUUUGAAUUAUCAACCAAUAUUUAUAUUAAUAGAAAACUCUAGCCGUGCAAAUGUGUGGGUAACUCCGUUAGUUAUACUAAUAAAAUAUGAUGCCAAUCACCAUGGGGCGUCGGCAGAUCGCAAUCCUUUACUCUGUCUAAUUUUAAAACUAAAUAGUAUAUGCAGUGGUUGAUGCCGGAAUGAAUCAAAUGAUGCGGAUAAUAGGUAAAUCCUCUGUUUUUAAAUAUAAGACCCUUUUACAGCUUAAUUUAGAAACAGAGGCAGUGCCAUUUUUGCCAUAAAGCGAAAGUUUGCACAAUAUUUUAAGUGUAUGGCGAUCAAGUGAACUGUCUAAUGGCCAAUGGGUACGAUGAUAAUGACUUGUGUGUACCUUGUCCCAAUCCACCUUUGUUAGGUGGCACAUAGUGGUCAUAAUUAUCUUCUUCCGUCCAAAAUAUGCAGCUGGUCAGUCAAGUGUUUACGUAAGGUUCCUUCAAUUAAGCUGUAGCACCUAGCAGGGAAACUAUACGUUUAUGAAAUUAUCUCCCAAGAAAAUUUACGAAUAAAAUUUUCGAGUAUCUAAUCUGAGGUUUCGUAAGUUUAUAAUAUUCAAGUAAAAAUUGAUUUACCCCUACAAGGGGAGAAAUCCUCACUUUUUUCCUUUUCAAUAUUAGGCAGUAGUAGGCAGAGAUGGUGAAUAUAAAGGUGGUGCAGGAUUUAGGUGUACGUGUUCAAAAAAUUCUUCUGAUCUCACUACUAGUAUUUCUCGACCAAGAAAUGUCGGUCAAGACAGGCUCACGUGGCAUGUUAAUUACUUAGUGGAGCAGAUAUGUAUUACAUUUUUAAAGAAGGAAACUUAAGAAGUUGGGCCAUCAAUUAAGUUCUAGCAGCCAGAUUGGUUGAUAGUACUUGACUUGUUCUAUUUGCUCACAUGCAAGUUCAUGCACAUCACCACACUGUUGCUUGCACCAGCUCUAUCAAUCUGCGGCUAUUUAAGCACACCCAUACAUGCCUCCAUUGACAAAGCAACUCACAAUGGCUUCUUCUUCCACAUUGUUUUGCCUUUCUGCCCUCCUUGUGCUGGCCUCAAGGCAGGCCACUGCCUACGAUCCUAGCCCUCUUCAAGAUUUCUGCAUCGCCGACAUGAAGGCGCCUGGUAUGCACUACGUAUAGUGUGCACGUAUAGAUGUGUGCCCUUAAUUCUAGUGGUGGUAUAGUUAAUGUUGUGAUAGCGUAGUACUGAUCACACAUUGAAGGUUACUACAUACUGAUAAUAGUUUUUUUUGUGUGGGGUACAUACUGAUAAUAGUUACAAAAGUAGUAUCACUACAUGCUCAAGCCACCCACACAUUUCUUACUUGCUUUAUGUUACUUUCUCUAUGCAUGCAGUGCGGGUCAAUGGAUUUGCUUGCAAGGACCCAAUGGCCGCAACCCCGGAAGACUUCUUCAACGCAGCCAUGCUCGAUCAGCCUAGGGAUACCAAGGCCAGCAAGGUCAGGUCCAACGUCACCAACAUCAAUGUCAUCAAUUUCCCUGGCCUCAACACCCUCGGCAUCUCCCUGGCACGCAUCGACUAUGGGCCAUUAGGUGUCAACACGCCGCACAUACACCCCCGUGCCACCGAGCUCCUCACGGUGCUUGAGGGGACACUCUACCUUGGAUUUGUCACAUCCAACCCAAACAGGCUCUUCUCCAAGAUAGUUAAGAAGGGUGAUGUAUUCGUAUUCCCAAAAGCAAUGAUUCACUUCCAAAUGAACCUGGCGCAUGACAAGCCAGCAGCCGCCUUGUCCUCGCUCAGCAGCCAAAACCCUGGGGUUAUUUCUAUCGCCAAUGCAGUCUUUGGAUCAAAGCCACCAAUUUCAGAUGAUGUUCUAGCCACGGCGUUUCAGGUGGAGAAGGAUCUGAUUCACUGGCUUCAAUCUCAGUUCUGGGAGAAUAACAACUACUAGAUACUCUCUUUCAUCUGGGCAUAUGGAAAGUUCAUAUGUAAUGCUAGUAUAUAGAAUAAAUGGCAUGUAAUAAUACGUAUGCAUGCAUGGUUGUGAGCUGUGUUUUCAUU
rnacentral:lncRNA from 1 species